CACAGCACAUACUGAUCUUAACAGAUUUUCAAUGCCCAAUUGGUAAUCCUAUGAUCAGGAACGUUUAGGAUAUGCAUACGAAAGAGAAUGGUCUCAUGAAUCUAACUUCUUUAAAUUACAUUCUCCUAAUUACAUAUUCCUUGGACUUAUCAUUUAAGCAUAUAACAUUUAUAUGAGACGGCUUAAAACAAUAAUCUUUGCCCUUGAUAUUAAACUAGAUUAGUUUAACAUGUGAAAUGUACGUAAAGUAUCAUCAUAUGAUUGGUUUUAGGGCACAUUUCCAACAAUCUCCCACUUGCACUAGAGCUAAUCAGCUUGGUCAUCAAUGAUGAUACCUCUUCUGUAGUCAUUUCAAAAAUGGCUGAGUAGUAGGCCUAGGCAAUGGAUAUCUAUAUGUUAUCCAUAUAAGCAACCUUGAGAAUAACGACGUCACCAUUAUACAUGAUUCUCAAUCAUGUGGUUCAGUCUCUCAUUUGAGUUCGGAUCUUGAUGAGACCGUGAUUCCCUGGCUUGAGCUAUCACCCCAUUAGUGUCGUAGUGUCAGUACACUGGAGGCACUUUCUGGUUGGAACCGAAUAGAGAGUUCAUAAAUGAACUUUCCCAUCCAAACAACAUUGUUGUAAGCUUCUAUAUGGCAAUAUAUUUUGCAUUCAUAAUGGAACACACUAAAGUCAUUACUUUUAAUGUUUCCAUCCAAAUAUCUCUUUAGUCAUAAUAAAGAGAUAUCUGAUUAUCUCUUCAUUCAUAAUGAAGAAACAUCCAAUAAUGGAUUAGAUUCAUAAUCUAAUACAUUUACACUUCCAUUACGUUACUCUAAUUCUUCCUCAUUCUUGAGGAAUCCAUCCUUUAUUAUUUCUCAAAUACUUAAGGAUUCACUUGACAGUUGCCAUGGUUCUGAUCCUAGGCUUGCAUUGAUAUAGUCUUGUAUCGAUCUUGGUACAACUCAUAUCAAUGUUUUUUCAUACAAUAUGAAAUACAUAAAUCACCUUUUUGCGUAUACAUAAAGGAUUCUAUUUACGCAUUAUUUCUUUGGGAGUCAAAAGGUACGUUCCCUUUGAGAAGAGCUACCUCCUAGUCUCACUAGAGUUGUUCUUCUGAUUGAAGUUUAUCAUCAUAUAAGAAACUUCCUAGCAUCUUUUGUCUAUCAUUAGGGCUUGAUAUAAUCCAAUUAUAUCCUGAAAUAUAUCAUUAUAGAUUUCCAUCCCAUGUUUAUAGACUAUGUCUCCCAUAUACAUUCUAUCGUUAUAGAAUGUUUAAAGUGAUAACUUUAACGAAGAAGUAUUCAUUUCAUUUCCAAAAUUAAUAUAUCAUAUAUGUGUUAAAUUUUAGGAACAUGAUUAACUCCCACUAAUCUUUUGUAAACUUAGUAAACAAAAGAUUCAUUUACAUCUUUAUGAGAAAUCAGUUGAUUUGAUCUUUCUCUCAUAAGACGCUUAUAGCUCCCACUAGCUUGCCAAGAUCCAUGAUGGAUGGAUCUCUAUAACUUACAUGUCUUGUGAUUCAUAGUUGUAGACAUAUAUUAUCAAGACUAUCUUAAUAAUGGUUUCGGAAACCCAUAUUAUGUCCAAACAUUGAAUCACCAUUUAGUUGUAGCUAGCAAUCUUCGAAUUAAUUGAAACCAAGACUACGUCAAAGAUGGUUUCUUCCAAGUCAACCAUUCUCUUUGAUUGUAGUCACCUUAAGCUAACAAUUAGCUAUGAAGGUUUCAUUACUUCGGGUCAAAUGGUAUUUUACCAUUUUCUUGAGUAUAUGUCGUAUAUACACUCAAUGUAGUCAUAAGGAUUUUCAUUCUUAUUUCUUUCGAAUUAAGAGGUGUAACUCUAUGACAUAGUCAUAAAGUUCAAACCAUUCAACUGAGACAAUUUAUAAAUACUUCUCGACUACCUUGGAGCUUGUGGUGUAUGAACUAGGUUGUUAUAUUUGUUGAUUAUCAUCUUGUCUCUCAAAGAACCCAUUCUUUGAGUUCUAUCUCUCGUUCAUUUGCGCUUAGGCAAAUCAUAUUGUAGGAUUACAAUGAUCUACCCAACAAAACAACAUUUGUUAGUUGGUUUAUAGAAGUGAUACCCAUGUUGGAAAUGUGCCCUAAAACCAAUCAUGUGAUGAUACUUUACGGACAUUUCACAUGUUAAACUAAUCUAGUUUAAUAUCAAGGGCAAAGAUUAUUGUUUGAGCCGUCUCAUAUAAAUGUUAUACGCUUAAACGAUAAGUCCAAGGAAUAUGUGAUUGGGAGAAUGCGAUCUAAAGAAGUGAGAUUCAUGAGACCAUUCUUUCGUAAACACAUCCUAAACGUUCCUGAUCAUAGGAUUGCCAAUUGGGCAUUGACAGUCCGUUAAGAUCAGUACGUGCUAUGUCUUCUCUCAGGGAGGGUGACUAGUCUCGAGUCAUUGGUGUGUGUGAUAUCAAGACAAGUACGUAGGUGCUCAAUAGAGAAUGAGUUCACUGAACACGAUCAACGAAGAGUUCUCAUACUCAUGUCACAUGAGAACUCAUGGUUGGGAUAAUGCAAAGUAGUCCUUUGACCUGAGGCAUCAUAGUUGUCUUGUGGUUAGGUCCUUGAUCUUUGAUUAUGUCAAAGUCACCCCAUCCGCGGGUAUCCACGGCAUCACCGGGGUUAAGCCACUUAGCCAUGGAGACAAGUGAAUGCGCAACAAGGGAUCUCUAACCUUCAAACCGUUUGGGGGAGAAUACUCUAUGAUAUGAUUAAGAAUCUCUGGCCAGAGUAUGAAUGAGAUUUAGGAAGUCGUUCCAAAUCACAUUCAAGGUAAUCAUAUAAGCCCACGAAUCACAUUGGAUAGUAAACAUGAAUAAACUAUCAAACCAGACAAUGUGGUCAAGAGUAUUGUAUUAGAGAAAGACCGUAUUGCAUUUGUAAUCCUAAACUGAUUAGGUUCUCCACCUCUUCUAAUUAGCUUGGGUAACCAUGAUAUACUGCUAGGUGUCACUCAUGGUUUGUGGAAGCCCUAAACAUGUAUAAUCACUAAAGGGAGAAUUGAAAGUAAGUUUCAAUUCACAAUCGAUUUGAAAUGGUUUUAAUCGCCCACUGCCUUGCUAAAAGGAACCUAAUGGAUCGUACACCGUGUAAGGUGGAGAUUGAAGAAACAAUGGAGAUGAGUAAGAAUAAUUAAAUGGUUUAAUUAUUUAUGGCAAGGAUUAAUUAAUAUGUUAAUUAAUCAAACGAAUAAGUUCGUUAAAGACCUUGGGAUAGUUUUGGACCUUAAGGCCCAAUGGGCUUCGAACGUCAAGCCUAUUGACUUAAGUUGUAUGACAACUUAAUGAAUAAUGAUUCACAAAGGCCCAAUUAGCCCAAUAAUACCCUAAGGCCGGCCGUUUAGAGAUGGAGUGAGUUUUGGACUUAUUUACAAGUUUGCCACUCCAAUGAAUUAAGGUAUAUAUAUGACUUUAUAGCCAAAAUUCAUUUAGGAUUUUCUUUUGGGGAAAGGAUGAGAACAUAAGCUCUCCUUUCUCUCUAAGGUGGUCGGCCUCCUUGGAGGGUUUAGCUAGCAAUCCUACUACUCCAAGGUCACUCAUUUCUUCUCCAAUCUAACCUUGGUGAAGAGACUUAUAGGUUCUCAAUUUUGGGAACUUGGGGAACCAUUUCAUCCAUCUAAAUCCAUAGAUCUAAGAUGCAAGGAAUGAAGGCCCUCUCUUUGGGUGAUUAGCCUUUGCUUAUGCAAAGAGGAAUCUACAAAGGUAUAAUUUCUCAACUAACAAAUGUUGUUUUAAGUUGAGUCAAGGUUCACCAAUCUACUAGGCUUUGAAUUUCAUGGGUAAUGUUUUGUUUUUGAGUGCAUACAAGCAUGAUUCCGCCUUUUAAUUGUUAAUUGCAUGUUAUAGAUGUUAUUCAAAUGAACAUGUUUUCACAAAAUUAUCCUUCAACCCAAAGGUUAAUUUAAGGAUAUCCACAAGAUAAUUCUCAAACAAAUAUUGCUUAUUAGCACACAACCCCAAAUCUUAACAUGAUUAAGAUUUGUCUUUCUUUCCAACUACAUCCUAUGGAGUCAUGAAAAUUUUGGAAGAUCUUCUAAUUGACAAUCAUAUUGUCUUAGAAGUAUACAUCCUAUAUAUAUGGGUAAUUGAUAACAUGCAACGAACUAAAUCUUAUUUGAGUUCGUUCUUCUCUUAAUGGAGAAAUCCAUUAUCAUAUGACGCUUCUUUCCUUGAUAUCUUUCAAGGAAACUGUUCUAAAGUGUUACCUUUCCUUGGAUCAAAUCUAAGGAGGUAAAUACUUUAGACAUCUUACUCAUCAACUUACAUUUCUUGAAUUCUUUGAAACCUUUCGCAAAGUAUUCGGACUUGUGUUUAUUCAAAAUAAAUGAUAGUCCAACCGAGAGCGAUCUUCGGUGAAUGUCAUACAACAUGAGUAGUAUUAUGUUGUGGACAAGUGCCACCAACAUCUAAGUGAAUUAACCUCAACAACUUUGUGAUUCUUUCUUCCUUUCCAAAAGAAUAAAGAUUCAAACAUUUUGCCUCUAUACAAUUUUAACAAGAAGGCAUUGGAUCUGGAUCUAACGAUCCAAAGCAUCCAUCUAUGACCAACUCAUAAUUUAUGUUUUAGAAGUAUCACAACUCAGUUGGGAUUAGUCACUACCUUGCAACCUUUUGGGUUUUAAGCAUCGUUAUAUUCUAAACAGUUAACACUACCAUAUCAUCUCUACUAUAGAGAUAAUCAAUUAGAUUACAAUAAUCUAAUCAUUCAUUAAUAAAGAACAAUGUUUUGUCAAACAAAACAUUCAUCCAUCUCUCAUAGUGACGGAAUUAAGUUCCUUAAAAUUGGAAUGUAAAGACAAUCUUUGGUUUUUCCAAUUUCUUUGGUAGUUCAUAUGAGGAAGUAAGUACAAUCUACUUUCGCAGAGAUCUACAUUUGAUUCACAUCCCGAAUGUGAAGUACUUUCUCUUCUCUCAUUAAUCUUCUACUUCUUAUUAGCCACACUUUUACAACGAUUGUAAAACAUAGUUACUAAUACGGAAUCAAGCAUUCAAGUAGAAGAACCAACUGUUUUGAACUUUUCAAGAACAAUUUACAACACCUUUGAAAGGUAUGUUCUUGACACUUGCAAGACAUUUCUUGCAAAUACCCCUUCCAAUGUCCAUCCUUUCAUAAAGAAAGUUUGUUCCCUUGGAGUUAUUUCCUCUUCUUCAUUUGACUUCUCCUUUGACUACAAUAGUCAUGGUCCCUAAACUCCCGCUAUCUCUUUUGAAACUUAUUUCAAUUGUGUUAUACACAUCAAACAAUUUGAAGAGCGUGUGGUUAUUGUUCACUAUAUAGUUUACAAUAAACUUAGUGAACCAUUUGGAUAGGGACACAAAGGUGAAGUACUUGCCUAAUUUCCGUCUCUCGAAGUGGUUUAACACUUCAACACUCAAUGAUUCAAAAUCAUCAUAAGUCCAUGUUGAUGGACUAUUUUUGUCAACCAACCAUUAUGUUCUAAACAUAAUUACAAACUUUCAAGAGUUGUUCAAGGCAACUCUCAUUUCUUCAUACAACAAUUUGUAAGUGAAGAAUCAUGGCACACAAAGUGUCCAUGUCCUUGUGCUUACUUCUUAAGUUCCUUGUUCAUGUAACAAAGAAAUGAGCACUAAUGUUUGCGUUAGCUAAGGGUUGUUCAAAGCAACUCUUAUUUCUUCAUACAACAAUUUGUAAUUGAAGAUAUAUGACAUUAAAAGUGUUGUCCCCUUUAUGAUAGACUUAUCUAACAUGUUCUUCCAAUGAUACAUUAUCAAUAAGAAGAUUGUGAGGAUGAGAUUACAUAGGUACAUAUACAAGCCAUUAUAGACAAUCUAUGGGAUUGUAGUACCAAGUCCGGGAACUAUAGCUUUCGGCUUUUCUUUGUCAAGUUUUUGGAUAGCUUUUGCAACUAUAUUGGUAAACAAAUACGUAAUGAAUAUAAAUUGAUUUUAAGCCAUUUGAUCCGAGUCUUUAAAUCAAAUAGCACCACCCACUAUUUUUGGCAAAUUCCAUAUCCCUCAUCGGAAUUUGAGAAUUUUGGAGGAAACUCUUAGUAGGGUAUGAGAGACUCAUCAUUACCAAGCCUACCUCACAAUGAUAUGAGAGAGUACGCUUACUCAUUUGCAUCUCUUGCAAGUACCCAUCUUAUUUGGCCUCUAGAGAAUGAAGCCUCACAAUGAUAUGAUGUUGGCUCCAUUGCACUUAGUUAAGUCAUUCCCACCAUGCAAGUUCGAGUAGGGGUUCAAGAACAACCUCACAAUGAUAUGAUUUUGGUCAUUCUCGUUGCCUACCUUCACAACAUCAUGUAUGCAUAUAGAACUCCUCCUGAGUGUAAGCACGCACUUUGUACUCCCCCAUGAUAGGGUAUAGUCGGUGUACGAGUCACAAACGAUCGAAGCCUACCACGGUGGAAGGCCACGAAAGAGUGUUCAAAGCACUCUCACGCUUAUCAACUUAAUAAUGGUUUGGUUGAGGGUUUUAGAUCUCAUCACAUAUAAGCAUGCAUUUUAAUCUUAUUAAAACAAUUUGGUCCUAUUACAACUAUUAGUCCAUGUGAUUGAUUUAGUUGUAUAUAAUACUCCCACUAUGCUUGUAAAACGGUUUUUAAAGCAAGAGUAUAUGGUACUACUAACAUAAGGUUUGCAUUCAUUGAUGGACUAUAUAGUUGCCUUAGGGCCUUAGGAUGACUAUGAACCCUUGAUUAGAUCCAACACGAGCCUAGUGUUGAAUCUCGGUCUAGGGAUGGUGAUUGAUUUUAGUUACGCGUUUAAUCAUAUUAAGGCGUGUUUUUCUUAUUAGGCGUUGGACCCAACUACUCCAAUUUCAUGCAUAUCAAAUAAAACAAGAAAGGAGUACUUCAAAGUAAAGAAGAGCUUAUGCUCUUUUACAACAUUUGUUCAAAACAAAUUACUUUAAAGUAAAGAAGAGCUUAUGCUCUUUUACAACAUUUGAUCAUGUCAAAUUACAACCAAAAUCUAAUCUACACAUUCUCAUGGUUCAAACAAAUUUGAGACGGCCUUUCAAAUAGCUCAAUUAUUGUAGGCUUAAGUUCAUAAUCACCCUUUCUUUAAUUGAUUAACGCUUUAACUAAUUAAACUUGAAUGCAACAUUUUCAUUUGGUUUUUGUUUAGAAUUUAUUUAAAUGGAGCUAAAUGAAAUGAAAAUCCAAUUCUCAUUUAAAGACACAAAACUAUUUUGUUCUCAACUAAUUUGGGCCAAAUGCAAUAACCACAACUUUUUGGGCUAUGUUGCAAAACACAAACUUUUGAGGUCACUUUGUAAGAACACAAAAGUCCACUACUUCAUGUAAUUACAACUAGAACCCAAAAAUUUCAUCAAAUACAAAAACUUCAUUAAAGGAGCAAAACAAUUUGUCCUUUAGUGUUUUUGGGCCUUUACGUAAAAACGUAAACUUUCGGGUUAAAGUACAAAUACACAAAAGUAUCAAAACUUUAUGUAAUUGCAUAAAAGCCCCAAAAGUACCUUAUUUUAAUAGGGUGGCCGGUUGGAGAGAGUGAAAGGUUUUGGUGAAAAAUUCAAAAUUUGAAGUGUUUUGUGCAAGUGGAUAGGUAGGUGAGGAAAAGUUGAUUGGGAUGGGGUGUAAGAAAAAUGUUUUGUCAAACAAUAAAGGCAUAAAUCAUCCAUCACCAAUCAAUAAUAAACCAAAACUUUAUUCAAAGCAACAAACAUAUUGAAUCAAAACACCAAAACUUUUUGUUCUUAGUAAGAACAUCAAGAACAUUGAAGAACACACAUGAAAACUCAUAAGAGCUCCAUGAAUGUUUUCACUCCAUAAAAUUCAAAAAUUCACUACUCAAAAGGGGGUUAACAUCCUAGGGUACUUAGGGGUUCCAAAAGUCACCUUAAAACACUUUUAAUAAGACAAACAAGAACCCAAAAAACCACCCUUUGGAUUUGGCCGAAUUUCCCCAAAAACAUGGCACCAAAUUUUAGCUCCAAAAUUCAUGCUCAUAUGAACUACAUCUACAACAUUUGAGAUGGCAAAUUUUCUAACAAAAUUUACAUUCAAAUAAGUAAGAAUAAAGCUUGUAACAAUUACAACAUUCAAAUCAAAGACUAUGAACUACAAAACCCAAAAGGAUUCACCAACUACUAGACCUAGGCUCUUGAUACCACUUGAAGGAAAUUUUGUGAAAAACAUGUUCAUUUGAGCAACAUCUAUGGCAUGCAAUUAACAUUUAAAGGCGGAAUCAUGCUUGUAUUCACUCAAAAACAAAACAUUACCCAUGAAAUUCAAAGCCUAGUAGAAAGGUGAACCAAGACUCAACUCAAGAACAAAGUGAGUUGAGAUAUUUUAUACCUUUGUUGAUUUCUCUUUGCAUAAGCAAAGGCUAAUCACCCAAGGAGAGGGCUUUCAUUCCUUGCUUCUUAGUUCCAUCGAUUUCUUGGAGGAGAAUGGUAGAAAGGAUUCUCCAAGUUCCCAAAAUUGAGAACUUCUAAUUUUUCCACACCAAGGAGGGACUUGAAGAAGAGAUGAGUGACCUUGGAGGAUGAGAGAUUGCUAGCUACUCUCCUCCAAGGGGACCGGCCUCUUAGAGAGAAAAGGAGAGCAUUGUGUUCUCAUCCUUUCCCCAAAAGAAAACCCUAAGGAUGAAAUGGCUAUAAAGUUGCCUUUAUACCACCUCACAAUGGAGUGGCAAACUUGCAAUUAAAGCAAGUUCACUACCCUCCUCUAUUUGGCCAGCCUUAAGGGUUUAUUGGGCUUUCAAGCCCUUUGUUUAUUCAAGUUGUCAUACAAGUUGAGUUAAUGGGCUUGACAUUCAAAUCUCAUUGGGCCUUGCGGCCUAAAACUAACCCGAGGUCUUUAACGAACUUUAUUCGUUUGAUUAAUUAACAUAUUAAUUAAUCCUUGCCAUAAAUAAUUAGACCAUUUAAUUAUCCUUACUCAUCUCUGUUGUUUCUUCAAUCUCUACCUCACACGGUGUACGAUCCAUUAGGUUCCUUUUAGCGAGGUAGUGGGCGAUUAGAACUCUUUCAAAUCGAUUGUGAAUUGAAACUUACUUUCAAUUCUACCUCUUGUGAUUAUACAUGUUUAGGGCUUCCAUAAACCAUGAGUGACACCAAGCAGUAUGUCAUGGUUACCCAAGCUAAUCAGAAGUGGUGGAGAACCUAUUCGGUUUAGGAUUACAAUGCAAUACGGUCUUUCUCUAAUGAAAUACUCUUGACCACAUUGUUUGGUUUGAUAGUUUAAUCAUGUCUACUAUCCAAUGUGAUUCAUUUACUUAUAUGAUUACCUUGAAUGUGAUUUGGAACGACUUCCUAAAUCUCAUUCAUACUCUGGCCAGAGAUUCUUAAUCAUAUCAUAGAGUAUUCUCCCUCAAACAGUUUGAAGGUUAGAGAUCCCUUGUUGCGCAUUCACUUGCCUCCAUGGCUAAGUGACUUAACCCUAACUAUGCCGUGGACAUGCUCUGACAUAGUGACUUUGACAUAGUCAAAGAUCAAGGACCUAACCACAAGACAACUAUGAUGCCUCAGGUCAAAGGACUACUUUGCAUUAUCCCAACCAUGAGUUCUCAUGUGGCAUGAGUAUGAGAACUCCUCGUUGAUCGUGUUCAGUGGACUCAUUCUCUAUUAAGCACCUACAUGCUUGUCUUGGUGUCAAUCACACCAAUGACUCGAGACUAGUCACUCUCCUUGAGAGAAGACACAGCACGUACUGAUCUUAACGGACUGUCAAUGCCGAAUUGGCAAUCCUAUGAUCAGGAACGUUUAGGAUAUGUAUACGAAAGAGAAUGGUCUCAUGAAUCUAACUUCUUUAAAUUACAUCCUCCUAAUUACAUAUUCCUUGGACUUAUCGUUUAAGCAUAUAACAUUUAUAUGAGACAGCUUAAAACAAUAAUCUUUGCCCUUGAUAUUAAACUAGAUUAGUUUAACAUGUGAAAUGUCCGUAAAGUAUCAUCAUAUGAUUGGUUUUAGGGCACAUUUCCAACAUUGCGUUCAUCACACACAUGAUGUAAGUAUUCUUGGUACUCUAGCCUAAAUGUAUUAACUUUUUCUAAGUUUUGAGUGACUUAGACGACUUAUUGACAUUCUAGAACAUCGUCUUGGUGGACACCUUUAUACUUAAACGAAAAACCUCCCUGCCAAGGAAAAAUCCCCAAUUGAGAGAAGUUGAUGGCCUUGAAGCAGGGCUAAUGUAUCAAUAAUUGUGUGCCACCAGAGAUUUACCAAUCAAUCCCACAACCAUCUAGUCAUUUCUACCAACCCUUUUGAGAUAGGAAACUAGAAGUAGUUUUGGUUCCUUGGCAGUACCCGCUAAAAUAUCACCUAUUAGAAUUCCUACGAAGUUUACUUCGUCAAGAUUCUAUGAUUGUUUUUAACGACAACCUUGUGCGAAUCUAGGCGAUCCUUCAUCAAGAUUCUAUAACAUUUGGGAGGAUAGCCACUUUUGGUCCAGGAUAGCACUAAUCUUUUCAAACGCACUAGUGAUCAUUCCGGAUCUUCAAGAGGAAGAUCAAUUUCCAUUUAAAUCCAUUCUAGGUAGGCUAUUAGCAAAUUUAUUUUUCCAGCCUUAGGACAUUCCAACCAAUGACUAGUUUCUAGAAUUUCUUUUGGUGUUGUACUCGUCAUUUUGACGAGCAUAGGCACAGGUGUACAAGUUGUUUUACCUAUGGUCAGUAAAAGUUCCCGAAGUGGUAAGUAUAUUCCCUAGAAUCAACGGAACCAACUUACAGGACCAAUUCCUUACCAAUCAUCCGAAACUACCACCUGAGCGGGCUCUAGCUUGUCAUUAGCCUACGGUGGUGCUACUAAUUGACGAUACUGUUCGAUAUCCAAGAACAAUCAACCAGUAUUCAGGCGGUGUGAUUCCUGAUACCAGACACAUGCUAGUAUCUGGGAGUGAUACCCAGAACACCGGUUCACCGUUUCAGGGUAACGAACAAUAUCAAAAAUAUCAAAAGUAUCAUAUAUGCAUUAAUUAGUGGUGCAACCGAUAGAUUGAUUAACAGUGACUACUUGAGCCGAAGAAACUAAAUGUUGAAAACUUAGGAGUAAACUUUGUUGGAGAACAAUAAACUUGUAGUUGUUUUAACCAUAUUUUCCACUUAGGUAACCAAAACAACUUCGACCAGCCAUAUUUCCGAUCACCUCAACAAGUAAAUAUUAGUUUGAAGCAUGAAUUAGUUCCCGCUGUAAGAGCGAAUUGAGUAUCAAGGAAGUUGUGAAGACCUAUUAGCACAUGGCGUAGUGCAAGGAAGUAGUAUGACACAUUUUGAGGACGUAUACCUUUGGCGUCAUUUCUCAAAAUUUUACUUGGGAUAUCACCAAGUGGUGAAGUGAAGUACACCAUCGUUCCACUUUCUCGUACUACAUCAGUUUUUCUUACAUCUUUUUUAUUAGGAACUUAUUUAGAGAACUUAGUUACUAAAGCUUACCGAUUAGGAAUUCACCCAACCAAACACUUCACCGUAGGGAACCUCAAACCCAACCGCGAAGGCGAAAGACCAAACUUUAGGUUUGUACCUAGACUUUAGCAACUUGAUCGAGUGACGACAAAAAAAAAAAACCAUUAGCCCUUACUUUGAGUUGAUGUUCUCUUCGACCAACUUUUAGGGCCCGAGUUUUCUUCCAUAACCUGACGAAUUUGUAGUAGCCUUGUCGACAACUUUCUCACUUAUCCCAGCAACAAGAUUAAAUUCUCUAAUCACUAGCAGUCAGCUUUAUAUCAAAUUCUUCAAAUGUUACUUUUGUUUUAAAUGGGUACUUUUCCUGGGGGAUGUGAUCUUAGUGGGCGAUAUCCUUUUCUUUUUCCCAAAAGGUUGUAGCGAAAGAAAGUUGAAAUUCUCAAAAGUGUUGUGAAAUGCAAGAUAUCUUGGCCUUAUCGAUUUUAUCAGUAGUCCGUUAGCGAUUUUUCAGCUGUAGUGUUUUUCUAUCCAAGUCAGUUGAGGAAAAUCAAUUUAGUUGAGACAUGGAAUAUGAUUAAAGUUGUGACAGCUGAGGUGACGUCUAUUUUGACCAUUGUUCAUACGCUUCUCGAUGACACUGAUUAUUUUGAAAUCUACUAUGAUGUUCCACUGAAUGCUUUGGCUACGUACCGAUGUAGCAUGACGGUGUAUCGCUUAUGUUUUCCAACGGCUGGGACGGUAUGAAAUGAACCACCUUACUUGAAAACCAGAUGACACUUCUAUGUGGGGAAGCAUGUCCAAAAUCCUUACCAACCUUAGACUUCUCAAAUACAUUUUCGUUUGUAAUGAGCUAAAUUUCUGACAACGACGAUGGAAGAACCAGAUCAAUGUCUACGCUUGCACUAUCGUGUAUUACCCUGAUUGUGCAAAUGUAAUUAAUGUUACAGCAGUAAAAGACAUAUCUACCCUUGAACAUCGUUAGCUUGUCCUAUCCCAUUCUAGUUGGGAUUCACGAGUAUCGAUUCAACGUUACUUACAAAUGAGCAAGAAUCGUUCAAGUGGUUAUAAUCACUUCCUAGAUCUGUUUGGAGUUGGGAAAUAUCACCAUAAGCUCUCGAUACAAGGUAUCUUGUACAUGUGGAGAUAAUGAUGAUGUUUCAGUGAUUAUUGAUCGACUUGACAAGUCAACUCACUCUUUGUUGGCCCAGAGUGACCACACUUUAGACCAUUUGGUAAAAUUACCCAUUCUUGAAUUCAUCAGAUUUUCUGGCAUUUCGAUCAACAUCUACUCUAAUUAUGAUUCCAUAUUUACCUCUUGGUGUUGGAAGGCAUUCCAGUUAACCGUGAGUACAUAGAUAUUGCACUUUAUAUUAAUUUUGAAGCAGAUAAACCGUUUAGGUGAAUCGUUCGACCAUUUAUAUUUUAGUUAUGACCAUUAAUUCCUCAAUCACCGAACAAAUACUUUGUUGAACGAAUCGUUACCGUUGGUGAUUAAAUAUUUCAAGAACUAUGGUCAUAGUAAGAUGUUAUGCAUUCAAUCCAGUUAUCUUGUACUUUAGAUUUGAUGGACUUGUUUUGACCCUCAGAUUCUUGAGUGUUCUUUUAUCCUUCUUGACAUAGUUUUUCACUAAAUCCGAGAGAAAUUCAAUAUGAAUCUAUUCAUUAUGGCUUUAUGAACUGCAUUGUUCGGCUAUAUGGUGUGUGUCAUGACACGUGUUUCACUUCCAAGCCUUGGGAUGUCUUCUUGAAGGCUAUGAGUACAAAAUUGUUGUCUGGUAUCACACUUCAUCCUCAGAUAAAUGGCCAGUCUGAACGAACUAUUAGGAACUUCGUGGAAUGUUGCGUUUGCCCGUUAUAUAAUUUUAGCAUGAUUGUAGUACACUUAUCUUUGUUAGAGUUGCGUGUAACUAUGGUUACACUUUCGGUUUUUGGGUAUGGCACCUUUUGAGACGUAGUACAUAAAUUCUAUACAUAAUACAUAAUUGGCGGGUAAGUAUUGCAAACAAGUAUUCGAAUGAUCAAAUUGCAAGGUAGCAAAAUUGCACGUUACUAACAAUGUUGGCCGAGAGGGUAGUGCUUGAGUGUGAUUGAGGCGUUAAUCGGAUGAUUAGGUGUAUUUCCCGAUGAGGAGCAUGAUGGUACUAUUGCAUCCUUGGGAAUUUGUCAUUUGUGUAUUGAGACAACAGUGAGUUGUUGGAAUUGCGGGCUGCAAACCAUAAUAUCGAUGACUUAUUCGUUGGGUUUGUUAAGCAAGUGGAUAAGUAGGCCGUCUACGUUAGUAUUUUUAUUUCUUCAUUUAGUUAUUUACGUAUUGUUUGGACUUGACCCAAAGAUACUACAUGCAUAUCUUCAGAUUAAGUGAUGCUAGGAAUACAUAGGUGAAAUUUUUUCUAUGUUCAAUUUUGAUUUUGUAGAACUAUUUUAACUUUACUUUAUCAUACACGUAUUUUGACGUUAUAUUAUUAUUCAUAUAUGUAUCUUGGACUUUAUGUUUUUAUAAAGGUUAUAUUAUAGUUUUGUACUAAAGGAGAAUGAAAGUUUAAGUUUGGAGGCAUGAAAGAGGAAUCAUUGCAAUCCGAGACAGAAUGGCAUUCUCUUCUAUGCAGCCACUCUAACUUGAUUUCUUCCUUAUAUAUAUUAUUCUUCUUACCAUUUUAGAGUAUUUUAUGUAUAACAAGUGAUUUCAAAUUUCGGGAACGAAAUUUUUUUAAGGUGGGUAGAUUUUGACAACUUGUCCUUAACUUUACGAUUUUAUAAUUCUAAAAGUGUGAGUUGGCCAAAAUGCCCUUAGAAGAGAGAUUGUUAACUUUCUUUGAUUGUCAUUUCAUGAUGUGUACGUGCUUCUAUUUUACCAUAUUCUCAAAGUCCUCGGUGCUAAGAACGCAUAUUCUCAAAGUACUCGGUGGCACAAGUGGAAUCGAAGUUGGAGCUACAAUGAAGAUUUUACGAAAAUAUGAAGUAGAAGAGCAUUUUAGUAAAUUCAUUAUUUAAGACUUUCACCCUUAUUAUUUUAUUAUUUUCUUAUUAGACAUCUGGGUCCGUGGGAUCCACACACAUGGGUCUCCUCUCCUUUUUGUCCCCAUGUCCUCUCCUUUGCCUCUCUCGGACAUCUCUCUCUUCACCCACUCCACCUAUCUCGUGUCCUCCCAUUCUCUUAGACCUCUCAUUUCCUGCCACCUCACAUCUCUCAAACUCUCAACUCUCUCUCUCUCUUUUCUUCCUCGGCAAGCAAAGGAGAGGACACAGGGACAAAAAGGAGAGAAGACCCAUGUGUGUGGGUCCCACGGACACAGAUGUCCAAUAAGAAAAUAAUAAAAUAAUAAGGGUGAAAGUCUUAAAUAAUAAAUUUACUAAAAUGCCCUUCUACUUCAUAUUUUCGUAAAAUCUUCAUUGUAGCUCCAACUUCAAUUCCGCUUACGUCUAUGCAUUCGUACCAUCGAGUACUUUGAGAAUAUGGUAAAAUAGAAACUCGUACACAUCAUGAAAUGACAAUCAAAGAAAGUCAACAAUCUCUCUUCUAAGGGAAUUUUGGCCAACUCACACUUUUAGAAUUAUAAAAUCGUAAAGUUAAGGACGAGUUGUCACAAUCUACCCAACCUAAAAAAAUUUCGUUCCCAAAAUUUGAAAUCACUUGUUAUACAUAAAAUACUCUAAAAAGGUAAGAAGAAUAAUAUAUAUAAGGAAGAAAUGAAGUUAGAGUGGUUGCAUAAAAGAGAAUGCCAUUCCGUCUCGGAUUGCAAUGAUUCCUCUUUCAAGCCUCCAAACUCAAACUUUCAUUCUCCUUCAGUACAAAACUAUAAUAUAACCUUUAUAAAAACAUAAAGUCCAAGAUACAUAUAUGAAUAAUAAUAUAACGUCAAAAUACGUGUAUGAUAAAGUAAAGUUAAAAUAGUUCUACAAAAUCAAAAUCGAACAUAGAAAAAAUUUCACCUAUGUAUUCGUAGCAUCACUUAAUCCGAAGAUAUGCAUGUAGUAUCUUUGGGUCAAGUCCAAACAAUAUGUAAAUAACUAAAGAAGAAAUAAAAAUACGUAAAUAACUAAAUGAAGAAUUAAUUUGGUCCCAUAUUAUUUGGUCUAGCCAAGAUUCUUUUAGCAUCCCUUAGUUUUGUGAACAAAUUUUGCGAAUUAAUUGAUGAAAUCUGCUUUCCGACAAAGGAAUUGAUGAAUUUCUUGAGCCAAAAGACUCAAAAGAACCGGAUGAAUCUCUUAGCAGAAUCUCACAACUGCCAGUAAAAGUAUCAGUUGCUAAAGGAGACUCACCCCAAAUAAUUUCGUUUUCCCAGUCUUGUAGAUUAAGAGGGUAAAAGUUAAAACUCAAAAGUGAUUGCUUUUCGUUUUCUGCAUAAAAAAUUACAGUUUGAUCCCAUCUCAUUGGUUCAUGAAUGAAAUGUGAAUCCUUCAUUUUUGCAUAGUCCAAAUCAUUGUCAUUGAAUGAGAACUCAGACAUGUCAUGUUUCUCUUUUGAAUGUGCUAGUGUCAAAGAUUGAAACCCCUUUAAGAAUGCCUCUUCAUCAUUCUCUUCAACAACAACACGAGAAACAUUCAAUGAUUUAUUAUGCCUAUUAUGGUCUCUUUUUUGUUGUUCAUCGUUCCAAAAACAUAACUAGUAUCACCAAAUAUUUUUGAAAGUCAUAGUUUGUCAAACGCCAUUCAUAAAUCCAUCAAGUGAUCGAAUCUCUUUUUGGUCUUAACAACUACGUCGUCUAUGUAACAUUCUAUGUUUUUGUGUAGCAUGUCAUUGAAGAUUUUCUGAAUUACGCGUUGAUAUGUAACCCCAGUGUUCCUUAAGCCAAAGGGCAUUACCUUGUAGCAGUAGAUACCUUUUAGAGCACAUAAGGUUGUUAGUUCCUCAUCUUUGGGAGACAUGUGGAUUUGAUUGUAUCCAGAAGAGUCGUCCAUGAAUGAUAGUGCCGCGUGGCUAGUGGUUACGUCCACCAUGAUUUCGAUGAUUGGCAAGGGAAAGUCAACCUUCAGGCAAGCAUCAUUGAGGUCAAUGAAAUCUACGUAAACACAUAUUUGUCCAGAUUUCUUAAGGGCAAUGAUGAUGUUGGAGAUCCAUUUAGGGUAUUGCACCUUUCGAAUGAAGCAUGCUUUGAUUAGCUUAUCAAUCUCGGUCUCAAUUAGUAGUGCACUUACGAAGAUAGGCUUCGGUUCCUCACUUGUGCCUUAGUUGAGCAACUUGAGAUCAUCAACCGUGGCUUGCCCCCCAUCCUCGAGCUGUGGUGGUGCAACAGGGACGUCAUCCUUGGGGAUUUCAUCUUCUUUGUCUUCUUCAAUCGUGAUGUGGAAGACGUCUUGGACCGCCUCUUAGUAUUGUCCUCUUGGGCUUGUUGGUGUGAAGAUUGGCCAAUGUGGACGAUGGUGCACCUCCUUACCUUCAGUGGCCAUUUUUGUUGGAAAUAUGCCCUGAAAGUCAAUCUUUGGAAGAAACCUUUCAGGACAAAUGAAUCGAUGUAUGGAUGACUCUUAUACAUCAAAUGGCAAAGACACGAAUUAGGACUAUCUCAAUAAACGAUAUAUGUCCUAAAUAGUGUAUCCAUGGACAAUGGAUCGAUUGAAGAAGUAAUCUAAUGAUGUUAGACUACAGAGACCUUCUUCACAUAACCAUUAUGUCCAAAAGGUUCCUAGUUAUUGGAUUGUCGGAGGGAAACUGACAAUGCUUAGACCGGUACAUACUGUGUCCGCUUCAAAUGGAAGGAUGGAAAGUCUCAUCCCAUUCGUGUUGUGACACUAAGACAAGUAUGUAGGUGCUCAUUAAGAGAAUGGGUUCACUAAACGCAAUCGAACGAGAGUACUUGCAUGGAGGUCUACUCACAUGUCAAGCAAGUAACUCUAAUGGUUGGAAUAAUGUAAGUAGUCCUUUGACCUGAGGCAUCGUCGUUGUCUUGUGGCUAAGUACUUAAUCUUUGAUUAUGUCAAAGUCACCCCAUUCGCGGAUGUCCACGGCAUAAUUGGGGUUAAGCCACUUAGUCAUGAAGGCAAGUGAAUGCGCAACCAGGAAUCUCUAAUCCUCGAUUAGAGAGGAAGAAUACUCUAAGAUAUGAUUCGGGAAUCUUCGGCCGAAGUAUCGAGCGUAAUAAAGGAAAGCGUUCCUAUACGACUCAAUAGAAUCAUAUAAGAAGGAAUAAUCACAUUAGGGGUUUGGCAUAAUAUAUCCAUACCCUAGUAAUGUGAUUGAGAGUAUUGUUUUAGAGAAGGAUCGAAUUACAUUGUAAUUCCAACUGAAUAGGUUCUCCGAACAACUUCUACAUUAGCUUGGGUAGCUAUGACAUAUGGUUAGAUGUCACUCAUAGCUUGUAAGUUCUUCUAGAUGAUUAAAUGUAGUCAUCAAAGAAGAAAGGUGAAUUAAAAUGAAGUUUUAAUUCACUAAGUGAUUGGAUUAAAUAUAAUCAAUUGGAUUGAUGUCAAUCACCUCACUGCCUUGCUAAUUAGAACCUAAAAUGAUUGUACACCGAUACACUCUUGUGUAGUGAGUAAUUAAUGGAUGAUGGAAAUAAUUAAUUGGAUUAAUUAAGUGUUGUGAUUAAUUUAGAAAGUCUAAAGAAAUCAUAAAAGCGAUAAAAGAUCGUUUUGGGCUUAAAGAAACGUUCGGGUUUAAUUGGGCCCAUUGGGCCUUUAUUCAAGCAUAGGAUGACUUGAAAUAAUAAAAGCCCAAAGCCCAAACCAAACACUAAAGGGCCGGCCACUUAAAGGGUUUGGGAGAGAUAUUUAGUCAAGUUGUUGACUAGGUUUCUUUUUGUCUAUAUAAGGAACUUUAUAGCACAAAGUUCAUUAGAGUUUUUGUGUGUUUUUGAACAACAAAGAGGCAAAAGAAAAUAGCUCUCUAAAACCACAAAGGCCGGCCACCUAGAGGGUGAAUUUACUAACAAUCUUUCACCCUUUUGGUUAUUCCUCCAUCCAUCUCACUACACUAGUGGGUGUGGAUCUUUAGAGGUCUUCUCCUUUGGAGACUAAAGGAGAACCUUGGAGCACUCUUACUAACAAAGUGGAGGAGGCAAGGAGGGAGGCUAGGCUCAAGGACUUCAAGGAACAAAGGGCUUGGAGGUGGUCCAUCCUUGGUCUCAAGUCUAGAUCAAGAGGUAUAAGACUAAACUUUCACUUUGUUCUUUACUAAAAUGUUUUGAUGCAUUAUAUAUAAACCUAUGAACCUUGAAGGGGAUUUGCAUGACUAUAGCUUUGAUAUUAUUUGAUAAAUUGCUUCCAUUGCUCAUGUAUAUAAAUUUUGAAUUGUAUAUGCAUGCUAGUCAUUUAGAAAUCCCAUGUGUUAAGCUCAUAAUUUUCCCUUCAAGUGGUAUCAAAGCCAAAGGUUUAUGUAUAAUGUGUCCUUUUGGAUUUUAUGCAUAUGGUUAUUAAUAUUAUGUAUGACAUAAUUAUUGGUUCAUUCAAAAUAAGUUUAUCUUUUGUUUUUCAAUAGUUGAAAAAUGUUAGUCAAUAGUUGAGAAAGAUAUGUAUGCAAAAAGAUGUUUUGUAUGCAUGAAUGAAAAUUGAGUUUUGAACUAGUUUGAGAUAUUAUUUCUUCAUUUAAAGUAUGUUUAUCUUUUGUUUUGCAAUGGUUGAAAAAUAUAAAUCAAGAGUUGAAAAAGAUAUGCAUGUAAAAAGGUGUUUUAGAUGCAUGAAUGAAGAGUGAGUCAUGAACAAAAUUUUGGGGUUUUGUUCUUUGUGGUUGGCACGGUUUUGGGUUUUUUUUGGGCAUGUGUUUGUGUUUUAUUGUAAGACACUCACACAUCAUUUUAAAGGUAGAAAGUAGAAACCUUGUCACUUUAGUUUUUGGGUUUGAAAAAUCACCAAGAAUACACAAAUCUUGAAAAUAUGUUCAUGGUUUUGUUCUUGGUGUUCAUAGUUUGGUUUUGGGUGAAAAUGGUUUUAUUUGGUUUUCAUGCAUAGUUUUAUGGUUUUGGAUGAUGUUCUUACCAUCCAUAACCAUAUUAAAACUUAUAAAACCCUAGACUUGUCUAGGAGAUUUCCAUCACCUUUUUCAUUAAAAUCAUUUAAACCAAAACCAAGUGACAUGCAAAUUUGGAUUUUUCUACCUUGCAUUGAAUUAAAGCAAGAUGGGUGAGACUUCCCAUCUCCCCUUAAUGUGGCCCGCAACCCUAGUGGAUUUAUCCACUUGGGGGGUCUUUUGUAAUUUGGAAAAAGAUAUUUUAUACUUUUGAGUAUUUACGGUUUGACCCCUAACUUUUUCUUAUUUGCAUUUAGGCCCCUACUAACUAGAAAGUUAAAAUAAUGAUUUUAAUUUUGUUAGUUGUUUAAACUCAUAAUUCUAUUAUGCCCAUAUGCACUAAAUCUAAAUGUUCAUGUUGCAUUCCGUUUUGAUUAUUUAAUGUGAUUAAGUAGUUAGAAAAAAGGGUGACUAUGGACUUAUGCCUUAAACGAUAAUUGAGCUAUGAGAUAAGGCGCUAAAAUCAAAUUGUUUGAACCUUGGGAAUGUGUUUUAAUUACUGUUUUUCUUGGACCUUGUCACAUUUGACAUUAAUCUAUCUCUCCCUCUUAGCAUGUGUAAUUUGUAGGAAUUUGUACAAAUCGGUUUGUAAUUCUUAUUAUUUCUUAAUCUCUUUUAGUUAGUUGAUUCCCUCUAGUGCUAGACUAGAGUUUCUUUAACUAUUGGUAAGGAGACAUAACUAAAAGAGGGUUUUGACAUGAGAUUAAAGAUUAAAUGGGUCCAAUGCCCUAAUUAGCAAUGAAUGAUUGUCUUUCAUUUCUAAUGGCUCAAUGAAAAUGUUUUAAUUGGAUUGAAAAGCACGUAAUUAAAUUGACACAACCUCCCCGAGUUUAUAUUCAACAAUGUUGGCUCGUUGUUGCAAUAACCUAAUAAGUCCAUGGUCAUCCAAGAGCCUAAGAUAACUAUAAAGUCCAAUUUCAAAGGAAUGCAAAAACCUUAGUAGUAGUAGUUACUUCCAAUAUUUGAAAAAUUAGUUUUUGAUAUUGAUUUGUUUUUCUUAAAACAAAUAGUGGGAGUAUCAUACGCUACUAAACUAUAAUGAAACAAUUAGUAGUUAUAUAUAUAUCUCCAAUAUUUUGAAAAAUGUUUUGAUAUUGAUUUGUUUUAUGAAAACGAAUAGUGGGGAUAUCAUAUAUGCUACUAAUUUCAUUAACUUUGGACUAGUAGUUAUAAUAGGACAUUAUUUAUUUGAAUAUGAUUAAAUAAAUAAAAUUUAUGAGACCUUAAAUCCCUCAACCAACAUACAAUAUUAAGUUGAAAGCGUUAAGAGUGCUUUGAACACUUUUUCGUGGCCUUCCACCGUGGUAGGCUCCAAUCGUUUAUGACUUGUACAUCCGCCUUCACCCUAUCAUGGGGGAGUGCAAAGUGCAUGCUUAUACUCAGGAGGAGUUUAUUUAAAACAUUUGAUGAGGUUAAGGUAGGCAACGAGUGUGGCCAACAUCGUAUCAUCGUGAGGUCAUGCUUGAACCCCUAUCUAAACCGGCAUGGUGGGAAAGAACUUAACUAAGAGAAAAUAAUGCCAACAUCGUAUCAUCGUGAGGCAUUACUCUCUAGAGGCCAAAAAGAUGGGUAAUCACAAGAAGGUUGUUGUGAAUGGGUAAUUGUACCCUCUCAUUAUUAUUUUUGCUAGCCAACAUCGUAUCAUCGUGAGGUGGGCUUGGUAAUAGUGAGCCUCCCAUAACCCGCUAGGAGCUUUCUUUGAAAUCUCCCGGAUUCCAUCUUGAGGGAUAUGGAAUUUGCCAAAAAUGGUGGGUGGUGUCAUUCGGUUUAAAGACCCGAAUCGUUUGACUUAAUCAACAAUCAAACUAAUUAUUUUAUUGUUUAUGUAUUUAGAUAUGGUUGGAAGCACACUCGCGAAAAUACUCGACAAACAUUGCCUAGAGGGGCACAAUUUCCCAUCAUGGUAUCGUAAUGUCAAGAUUCUCCUAACAUUGGAGAAGAUUGUUUACGUACUAGACAAGGCUCCACCUCACAUACCUCUCGGCCCUGGGGCUACUGAGGAUGAACGUGCUAAGUUUGACAAGCACGUUGAGGAUGACACACAAGCCAAGUGCUAUCUGUUGGCUUCCAUGAAUGAGGAGCUACAGAGACAGCACGAGGGCAUGGACAGUGCAUCUUCCAUAAUACUCCAUCUUACGGAGUUAUAUGGUGAAGGGACGCGCAACCGUCGCUUUAGCACUGUUUGUGAACUUGUGAAGACCAAGAUGGUCAAGGGGGCUCCAGUGCAUCAACAUGUACUGAGGAUGAUAGGAUUCAUUGAACAAUUGGAGAACCUUGGUACUCCACUUGACGGGGAAUUUUCAUAUUGGCUUCUCUUUCUGAUUCAUUCGCGCAGUUCGUAAUGAACUACAAUAUGAAUAAGAUGGAUAGUACUCUCUCUGAGUUACUAAAUAUGUUAGUAACUCCCGAGAAGACUAUGAAGAAAGAGAACGUUGUAGGGACUUCUGCAGUAGUCUACAACAAGCCAUCCUCUUCCAAGGCCAAGCCGCAAGGCAAAGGCAAAGGGAAGGAGAAGAAGCCACCCACUCCUAAGCCGAAAGGAGGAGUGAGGAAAAAGAAGGCAAAGGAGCCCAAAGGGACUUGCCACCACUGUGGAAAGGAGGGGCAUUGGAGGAGGAAUUGCAGGUUAUACCUUGCAAGUCUUAAGGACAAGCCACAAGGUAUGGUUUAUGUUCUUGUCUUCAAUUCUAAAUGUUAGAUCUUCUAAAUAUUUAUAUUUGAUAUAAAGAGCUAAUCACUUGUAUAAUUGUAUAUAGGUGGAGAAGCCAAGUAGAAGAUGAACAAGCAAGGAAAAAGUGGUGAAGGGUUCGGCCACUAUAUUUUUGCUUACUACUUAGGAAGUUUGUUAGGCAUUAAAGAUUGUCUUUAAACUUUCUUAUUUUGUUAAGAACUUAUUAUGUGGCUUCAUAUGAUGGAAGACCACUAUUAGUGCCUAAAUGUAUAAAGGUAUUUAUAUUAGUCUCUAAAUGUAUAGAGCUAAUACUUUUUGUAUUAAACAUUAUGAAUGUUUGAAAUAUCAUAUUAAUGUAAUGUGAAGAAUGCCUUUUUAAUAUACUAUUUCCUUAAAGUAGUGUUAUGAAUUGAAAAUUGUCUUGUUGUAUCUUAGUUGAGAUACAAGAGUUAUAUCACUUAUUGUAAUAUGAUAACCAAACUUUAGAUUUAUCAAUUAUGGAUAGAUCUCACAUGUAGGACAUAAAAGGAUACAAUGAAUCUUUAGAUUUGGUUCCAUUUGUCUACCUAUGAGUUCUAUAUGAAUUGACAAAAGUCUAGAGUAUCCUUUCUUGAAGAAAAGGAAGAUCACAUUAUAAUGAUAUAAGUAAUAAGAAAAAACGUUUCUUAUAUGGUUAUCACUUGAAACACAAUGAUCAAGAUCACUCUUGAUUCAAUUAGUAAUUUUGAACAACUAAUUGGGCAUUCUUUAAAAGGUUUUAAAAUGUCAAUUGUGUUAGUGAUUAAACCAAGAAAGAAUUGUCUAAAUCUAUAAAAUGUUUAAAGACUUUAGUCACUUAAUAACAAGACAUUAACUUAGUGAAGAUUGAAACAAAUAAAGCUUGAAAUGUUUUAAAGCUACUACACAAUGUCUUCUUCCAAUAUACUCCACUUUCAUACAUUUUGAAUAUAUGAAGUGAUUUCUCAUUAAAGUCAUGAGAAAUAGUGGGAGGUGUGGAAAUGGAUAUAAACUUGAAUAUGAUUGGUUUAUAGUUGUCUAGAGAAUAAUAGUAUUUGACUAUUAUUAAGAGUUUGCAAUUUUAAUUGUUAAAAGACUCAAGCUCUUCAAAACGUUAAAAUUCUAUGUUGUGUGACAUUCUAAAGAAUAGUCUUUGAAUGUUGGUUUCGUCAACCUAGCAUAAAAUGGUUAUAUGUUGGGAGUUGUCCAUAAUUCUCUUUUAUGAGAACAAGCUAAAUAACCAAGCAUAUGGACAAGUUGAUGAAACAAAAGGGAAUAAGUUUCAAACUGAGUCACAACAUAUGGUUUAACAACAAGACAAACCAAAUUCAACAUCUCAUGUAACAAUAUUGCUCUAUGUAGUUUUAAUAAAGAAUUAUAUCAACCACCUAGAUGGAAUGGUUGAGUUUCUGUAUCCUUAGUAGGAGCCAUGCUUCCACUAAAGACUUGGAUAAUUCUUAUAUGACUACAUUAAAGGUCUUAGUAUGACUAAAACUUGAAGUAUGGUGUAUGACACCAUAUAACUUAAAUGAAUAGACUUAAUGGAACAAGUCACACAUUUCAAAUGGAAUUACUUGAGAAGGAAUUCUUUUGUGUGUGAUUCAUUUAAGUUAGUGGGAGCAAUAUGCAUUCAAAUCAAGAAAAUAUAAUUGUUAUUUUUGAAUGAAUUCUAAGUUACAACAAGGCCAGUGGGAGUGAUGUCAUAAUUUGAGCAACAAGAUGUGAAUAAAGUCUAUUAGAUAGACUUGAUAAAACAUAGAUGUUGCUCGAGAAAUGACAAAACAUGACACGGUCAAUUUUGAAGUAUAAACUUGAAAUUGGACUUAUUGAUAUAGCAAGGCUACUCAAUAAUGUUAUAUGGGAAUUAAAUCUCAAAUGUUGUAGAUUUAAGAAAGCAUUUUCCUAUGUAAUAGGAAAUUACUUUCAUAACCCUUAUAAUGAAUGUGUCAUAAAAUCACAAAAGGGACACAUGUAUUGACUUGUGAAGUAGAUAUCCAAAAGUGAAGAACCACAGAGGUUGUUAGUUUAAGAUAUUACUAUAUCCCAGGAUCAGAACCAAAGCAACUGAAAGAGUAUUAUUGCCUUUAAGAAAGAAACAUCAAAGUGGGACUCUGGAAGCGUGCAUUCACUUAGGUUGUUAACCAAAGUGAAAAUAAGCCAUUUUAACAAAUGGAACUUCAUAAUGGAUGAAGUACUAAUCAUAUGAAUGAUUGUUAGUAUUGUACUACAAUGGUCUCAAGGUUGGAGCAAAGUUUGUAUAAAGUAUACAAACGAAAUAUAUGUCGAUAUAUAGUUUUAGAAACUGCUUCAAAAGGUGUUUUGAAUGGAAGGGGUUCUUUUAGAACCAAUGAUUGAAUCCAAACCAUAAGGUCGUUAGUAGGAUACUACGACGUAAUGGGGCGAUAACUCAAGCCAUGGAUGAAGGAAAAUCUAUGAGAUUCAUGUAUGCGAUUUCUUAAUGACUAUCAUGCAUAUACAAAUCAAAUUUAAUAUACGAAAGCAGCGGAAGCAUUUAUAACAUAUUAUCAAAGCUAUAGUCAUGCAAAUCCCCUUCAAGGUUCAUAGGUUUAUAUAUAAUGCAUCAAAUAAAAUUUUUAGAGAAAAGAACAAAGUGAAGGUUUAGUCUUAUACCUCUUGAUCUAGACUUGAGACCAAGGAUGGACCACCUCCAAGCCCUUUGUUCCUUGAACUCCUUGAGCCUAGCUUCCCUCCUUGCCUUCUCCACUUUGAUAGAAUGAGUGCUCCUAGGUUCUCUUCAAGUUUCCAAAGUAGGAAAUCUCUAAAGAUCCUCACCCACUAGUGUAGUGAGAAGGAUGAAGGAAUAACCAAAAGGAUGAAAGAUUGUUAGCUAAAACACCCUCUAGGUGGCCGGCCUUUGUGGUCUUAGAGAGCUAUCUUUCUUUUGCCUCUUUGUUGUUCAAAAACACACAAAAACCCUAAUGAACAAUAUCUCUAUAAAGUUCCUUAUAUAGACAAAAGAAACCUAGCCAACAACUUGACUAAAUAUCUCACCCUUUCCACACCUAAAAUGGCCGGCCCUCUUUGUGUUGUUUGGGCUUUGGGCUUUCAUUUAUAUCAAGUCAUCCAAUGCUUGAAUAAAAGCCCAAUGGGUUUAGGCCCAAUGGGCCCAAUUAAACCCGAACGUUUCUUUAAGCCCAAAAUGAUCUUUAUCGCUUUUAUGAUUUCUUUAGACUUUCUAAAUUAAUCACAACACUUAAUUAAUCCAAUUAAUUGUUUCCAUCAUCCAUUAAUUACUCACUACAAUAGUGUAUUGGUGAACAAUCUUUUAGGUUCUAAUUAGCAAGGCAGUGAGGUGAUUGGCAUUAAUCCAAUUGAUUAUAUUUAAUUCAAUCACUUAGUGAAUCAAAACUUCAUUUUAAUUCACCUUUCUUCUUUGACGACUACAUUUAAUCAUCUAGAAGAACUCACAAGCUAUAAGUGACAUCUAACCAUAUGUCAUAGCUACCCAAGCUAAUGUAGAAGUUUAUUCGGAGAACCUAUUCAGUUGGAAUUAAAAUGUAAUUCGAUCCUUCUCUAAAACAAUACUCUCAAUCACAUCAUUAGGGUAUGGAUAUAUUAUGUCAAACCCCUAAUGUGAUUAUUCCUUCUUAUAUGAUUCAAUUGAGUCGUAUAGGAACGCUUUCCUUUAUUACGCUCGAUACUUCGGCCGAAGAUUCCCGAAUCAUAUCUUAGAGUAUUCUUCCUCUCUUAUCGAGGAUUAAAGAUUCCUUGUUGCGCAUACACUUGCCUUCAUGACUAAGUGGCUUAACCCCAACUAUGCCGUUGACAUUCUAAUAGAGUGACUUUUGACAUAAUCAAAGAUCAAGUACUUAACCACAAGACAACAAUGAUGCCUCAGGUCAAAGGACUACUUACAUUAUUCCAACCAUUAGAGUUACUUGCUUGACAUGUGAGUAGACCUCCAUGCAAGUACUCUCGUUCGAUUGUGUUCAGUGAACUCAUUCCCUUAAUGAGCACCUACAUACUUGUCUUAGUGUCACAACACGAAUGGGAUGAGACUUUCCAUCCUUCCAAUUGAAGCGGACACAGUAUGUACUGGUUUACGCAUUGUCAGUAUCCCUCCGACAAUCCAAUGACCAGGAACCUUUUUGGACAUUUGGUUAUGUGAAGAAGGUCCCUGUAGUCUAACAUCAUUAGAUUACUUCUUCAAUCGAUCCAUUGUCCAUGGAUACACUAUUUAGGACAUAUAUCGUUUAUUAAGAUAGUCCUAAUUAGUAUCUUCGCCAUUUGAUGUAUAAGAGUCAUCCAUACAUCGAUUCAAUUAUCCUGAAUGGUUUCUUCCAAAGAUUGACUUUCAGGGCAUAUUUCCAACAAUGGAAUCAAGGUCUCAUCAAAGUAUUCGAACACAAUAAAGAGACAUCAUCAAAUGUUUUGGAAACAUUUGAUAAGAAAAUCCCUUUUAAAUAAUAAAAGGGAUUAAUACAUAACCAAGUUAACCUACGAGCAUAAGCUCUCUUAACAAGAUGUAUAAGAUACACUAGUGAUUGACUUUAGUGCAAGUGGGAGAUUCUUGGAAAUAUGCCCUGAAAGUCAAUCUUUGGAAGAAACCUUUCAGGACAAAUGAAUCGAUGUAUGGAUGACUCUUAUACAUCAAAUGGCAAAGACACGAAUUAGGACUAUCUCAAUAAACGAUAUAUGUCCUAAAUAGUGUAUCCAUGGACAAUGGAUCGAUUGAAGAAGUAAUCUAAUGAUGUUAGACUACAGAUACCUUCUUCACAUAGCCAUUAUGUCCAAAAGGUUCAUAGUCAUUGGAUUGUUGGAGGGAAACUGACAAUGCUUAGACCGGUACAUACUGUGUCCGCUUCAAAUGGAAGGAUGGAAAGUCUCAUCCCAUUCGUGUUGUGACACUAAGACAAGUAUGUAGGUGCUCAUUAAGAGAAUGAGUUCACUGAACACAAUCGAACGAGAGUACUUGCAUGGAGGUCUACUCACAUGUCAAGCAAGUAAAUCUAAUGGUUGGAAUAAUGUAAGUAGUCCUUUGACCUGAGGCAUCGUCGUUGCCUUGUGGCUAAGUACUUAAUCUUUGAUUAUGUCAAAGUCACCCCAUUCGCGGAUGUCCACGGCAUAAUUGGGGUUAAGCCACUUAGUCAUGAAGGCAAGUGAAUGCGCAACAAGGAAUCUCAAAUCCUCGAUUAGAGAGGAAGAAUACUCUAAGAUAUGAUUCGGGAAUCUUCGGCCGAAGUAUCGAGCGUAAUAAAGGAAAGCGUUCCUAUACGACUCAAUAGAAUCAUAUAAGAAGGAAUAAUCACAUAAGGGGUUUGGCAUAAUAUAUCCAUACCCUAGUAAUGUGAUUGAGAGUAUUGUUUUAGAGAAGGAUCGAAUUACAUUGUAAUUCCACCUGAAUAGGUUCUCCGAACAACUUCUACAUUGGCUUGGGUAGCUAUGACAUAUGGUUAGAUGUCACUCAUAGCUUGUGAGUUCUUCUAGAUGAUUAAAUGUAGUCAUCAAAGAAGAAAGGUGAAUUAAAAUGAAGUUUUAAUUCACUAAGUGAUUGGAUUAAAUAUAAUCAAUUGGAUUGAUGUCAAUCACCUCACUGCCUUGCUAAUUAGAACCUAAAAUGAUUGUACACCGAUACACUCCUGUAGUGAGUAAUUAAUGGAUGAUGGAAAUAAUUAAUUGGAUUAAUUAAGUGUUGUGAUUAAUUUAGAAAGUCUAAAGAAAUCAUAAAAGCGAUAAAAGAUCGUUUUGGGCUUAAAGAAACGUUCGGGUUUAAUUGGGCCCAUUGGGCCUAAACCCAUUGGGCCUAAACCUUAUUCAAGCAUAGGAUGACUUGAAAUAAUAAAAGCCCAAAGCCCAAAGCCCAAACCAAACACUAAAGGGCCGGCCACUUAAAGGCUUUGGGAGAGAUAUUUAGUCAAGUUGUUGACUAGGUUUCUUUUUGUCUAUAUAAGGAACUUUAUAGCACAAAGUUCAUUAGAGUUUUUGUGUGUUUUUGAACAACAAAGAGGCAAAAGAAAAUAGCUCUCUAAAACCACAAAGGCCGGCCACCUAGAGGGUGAAUUUACUAACAAUCUUUCACCCUUUUGGUUAUUCCUCCAUCCAUCUCACUACACUAAUGGGUGUGGAUCUUUAGAGAUCUUCUCCUUUGGAGACUAAAGGAGAACCUUGGAGCACUCUUACUAACAAAGUGGAGGAGGCAAGGAGGGAGGCUAGGCUCAAGGACUUCAAGGAACAAAGGGCUUGGAGGUGGUCCAUCCUUGGUCUCAAGUCUAGAUCAAGAGGUAUAAGACUAAACUUUCACUUUGUUCUUUACUAAAAUGUUUUGAUGCAUUAUAUAUAAACCUAUGAACCUUGAAGGGGAUUUGCAUGACUAUAGCUUUGAUAUUAUUUGAUAAAUUACCUCCGUUGCUCAUGUAUAUAAAUUUUGAAUUGUAUAUGCAUGCUAGUCAUUUGGAAAUCCCAUGUGUUAAACUCAUAAUUUUCCCUUCAAUUUUAUGUCAACCUCCAAUGUUGCUUAGCAUUUCAUAGCUUCGAACGUCGUCUUUUUUUGCUAGACCAUUGAGUUUUUCUUCCUUUAGCAUUGUCUUUCUCUUUCUAGAAGGCUUUUUAGUUUCUUCGAGUCUUUCCAAGGCUGACCGUCAUGGAGGAGAGCUAGCCAUGUUGCUUUGUUUCUUAGGUUUUGACAACCUUUAAAAAACAGAGCUUUGGGGUGUUGGCGUGUUAAGCCUUUUGAAGACAGAGGUUUGGUCUUGACCACCAAUGCAAUCAAGUGCUGACAUUCUGGGUUUUGAACGGUUUAGCCUAUCAAAGACUGACAUUCGAGGGGUAGGUUUAUGCUCCUCUUGAUUUUGUUCAACGCUUAUGCUGAUGUGUUGAGCGCUAGCGUUUUUUGCUUUUCUUGAAAUCUUUACAAGCUUAUUUGGUGUGAAGCCAAGUCCAUCUUUGUUAUUGUCAACUCCGUAACCAUGCUCCUUCAACUUCUUUUGAGUCUCGGUGAUGUCACGUUCUUUGUUGUUGACGGUGUCUGAAACCUUAUUUCCAAGAUUUGAAGGGGAGGCAAAAUUGUACCCAGCCUUUGACAUGAGUUUAUAGCCAUUUGGGUCGAAGCCUUCUUCAGUCCUCUUGGUUGGAAGAUAGCUUGGUUUUGCCUCAUUUGGCAAGGGUUUUAUGAAACCUUGUGGUGGUUUUGAAACCUUAGCAUCACCUAGCUAUGUCAGAGGUAAAACGACAUUUGUCUUGAGCAACAUUACAUCAUCCAUGAGCAGCUGUGUGUUAGCUUUGCUUGUUCUAGUUUCGAACAGGGAUUGCCCAUUCUUUCUUCUCAACAUGGUGAUGUAUCAGAAGACGGGUGUGUUUGAUCCUUUUGAGGGUGUCACACUCUCUUUGUUUGUUAUGGGUUUGGCAGGCUCAUCAUUGUUUUUGUUUGAAGAUGGCACAGCUUCCCCUUCUUGCUUCUUAGGCAUAGCUUGCGAGAUCCAUUUAUACUACAAUAACCUUGUGAUUCUUGCAAGUAAAAUAGGAGAUUUAAGCCCGUUCACAUGAGUAGUAAAAAUCCUAUCAAGAAAAUGGCGCCGUUGCCGUGAAGGAAAAAUUUUGUCCUAGCUAAGAACAAGUAUGAACAUUUGAAUACACAUGCAAGCUAUUAACACUUUAAAGUAGGCAUGCAUCCAAAAACAAUUCAUAAAACCCAUGACUUUCAAAGCCUAGUAUAUGGUGAACCAAAAUAAACUCUUUAACAACAUUAAAGAGAAAGAAGAAUUUAGUGAUUCUUUACCCUUGAAGCUCAUCCUUGAUUACACAAGGGAUUCACCCAAGUGGAGGGCCUUCAAGUCACCUCCAAGCUCCUUGAAUCCUCCUUGUGUUUUCCUCCCUUUAGUGCUCCUUUGGAGAUUUGAGGAAAUAAGGAUUUGUUCUCCAAAACACCAAAAGCUUGAUGUCUCUAAGUCUCUUCACCAAGGUUGUAUCUUGUGAAGAUGAAAUGGAUUACUAAGGGAAGAAGAGAUUGCUAGAUGUCCCCUCCCUUAGUGGCCGACCUCCUUAGAAGAAAAUGGAGAAAAUUUUUUACCCAAUUUCAACAAGAAGAACCCCUUAUGAGAAAAUUGCUAUAAAGUUGCUUUUAUAACAUUUUCUUUGGUGAGUGGCAAACUUGUAAUUAAGCAAGCUUGCCCAUUCACCCUAAUGGCCGGCCUCUCCUUGUUAUUGGGCUAAUUUGCCCAUUUUGUUUUUGUUGUCAUACAACUUAAACAUAAUGGGCCUUUUGGACCAAAACGCUUUUGGGUCCCGAAACCCAAAACCAACAUAUAAGCCCAAUACGAACCUUUCGUAAAAUUAAUUAACUAAUUAAUUAAUCUUGACCAUUCUUCAAUUAAACCAUUUAAUUGCUUAUCCAUUUCAUAUAAUUUCUUCACAUACAUCCUUACUCAGUGUACGAUCCAUUAGGUUCCAAUUAGCGAGGUAGUGGGCGAUGCUACUCUUAACUAUCGAUUGUGAAUUGAAACCACAUUUCAAUUCUCCCUUUAAUGAUUAGUGUUACCUAAUCAUUUGGGCUUCCACAAACCAUGAGUGACACCUAGCAGUAUGUCAUGGUUACCCAAGCUAAGUAGAAUUGAUUGGAGAACCUAUCCAGUUACAACUACAAUGCAAUACGGUCCUUCUCUAAUACAAUACUCUUAAUCACAUUGUUUAAGUGAUAGUUUGUUUCAUGUCUACUAUCCAAUGUGAUACUUUCCUAUAUGAUUCCCUUGAAUAUGAUUUGGAACAAACUUCCUAAGUCAUAUUCAUUUGCUUUGGCCAAAGACUUUAGAAUCAUAUCUUAGUAUUCUCCCUCCACCAUGGAAGGUUAGAGAUCCCUUGUUGUGCACUCAUAUGCCUACAUGACUAGAUAGCUUGACCCCAACAAUGCCAUGGACACUCCAAAGGAAUGCCGUUGACAUGAUCAAAGAUCAAGGACCUAACCAUUAGACAUCUAUGAUGCCUCAGGUCCAAGGACUACUUUGCAUGUUGCAACCUUAGAGUUCAUACAUGACAUGUAUGUUCGAACUCUCUUUUGAUCGUAGUUCAGUGAACUCGAGUACUCUUUUGAGCACCUAUGUGUUUGUCUUAGUGUCCAACACCAAAUGACUUGAGACUAGUUAUACUCACGAUUGAGUCAACAUAACACAUACUAGCCUUAGCGGAUUGUCAAUGCCCAAUUAGCAAUCCUAUGGCUAGGAACGUUUUAGGAAUGAAUCUAAGUGAAAGGUCUCGAUAAUCUAACUCAUUAGAUCACUUAUCUCUUAGAACAAAUACAUUCCUUGGAUUCCUUUAUUGCAUAAACACAUGAUACAAUAAAUAGUGAUUAACAAUAAGAUUUGCCCUCCAUUAAACAUAUAAAAGUUUAACAGAACAAGUAUUCCAAAAAGCUAUUACAUCAAAUGAGUGGCUUUGUGGGCAUACUUCCAACAUGCCGGGGAUUAUUUAAAAUAAUCCCUACUAAUCAGAUUUUCAAUUAGUUAUUGCUGUUCAUACAAAUAAAAAAAAAUUAAUUUUUGUUUUUAUUUUAUUUUUACAGAUUACAACAGUACAACAAUGCAGAUUUCAGAAAUCUGUGCAUGGUCAGCACCCAUUCAACAGUGCAGAAAUUGAUUCCACUUGAUCCAGAACUUGAGCUAAAUUUAAGGAGGAAACGCUGGGAGCAAACUUUGCAGAAGGUUCGUCCUCUGCAGGAGACAUUUUUGCAAUCAGUCUUUUCUGGGGACCUGUACAACAAAGAAAAAAUGGCAUUUGUAAUUCCAGAGGCAGGUCUGCCCCUAGGUGAUUCACUGACUGCCCAUACCACAAAUAUACCAAGUUGCAUUACUUAUCCGACAGUGGAGGAAGGGACUGCAUUUGAAAUAAAGCAGCACAUGUUGAAUAUUCUACCUACAUUUCAUAGGUUAUCAUCUGAUGAUCCUAACAUGCACAUUGCAGAAUUUUUAAUGGGGUGCAAAAACAUUUUGGUGAGGGGAUUUUCAGCUGAAUCUAUUAAGCUGCAAUUAUUUCCAUACACAAUAAAAGAUCAAGCAAGGAGAUGGCUCCUCACACUCCCAUCUGGAAGCAUUAGUACUUGGGCCCAACUCGGUGAAAAUUUUUUAAACAAGUAUUAUCCGGCUUCUAAGACUCUUGACAUGAGAACUCAGAUUUUAUCUUUUGCCCAAAACCAAAUGAGGAGUUUCAUGAGGGAUGGGAGCGGUUCAAAGAGUUGAUUAGAAAAUGUCCGCAUUCGGGUAUUAACACUACUGAUCAAAUGCAUAUAUUUUUUAGAGGGUUGAAUAUGACUACAAAAACACUUGUCAACACUUCAUGCGGAGGUUCGUACAAAGACAAAAAUGUACAAGAGGCUUGUUUGUUAUUUGAAAAAAUGGCAGCAGAUACACAGCAGUGGGCAGUUGAGCAGCCACAAUCUAGGUCUAUUUUUGAGAUGUCUAACGGUUCUCCGUAUGUUAUAGCAUAAAUUGAAAAAAUGGAGAAAAGGCUUGACGCAAAAUUUGACAUGUUAUUACAGAGAAUACCAGGUUCACAGGUUGCUGUACAGCAGCCCUUACAAGCUGUCUGCAGCAUUUGCAACAUGAUAGCUCACGAUUUUAUGAGCUGCCCACAUAAAGAUGUUUCUCCAGAUUUUACAGCAGAGCAAGUUAAUGCAUUUAACAAUUUCCAGCGCCCCCGAUAUGAUCCGUAUUCUAAUUUCUACAACCCAGGUUGGAGAGAUCAUCCUAAUCUAAGGUCGGACAAGGAACAGCACACUAGGCCUCAAUUCCAACAGCAGGUACAGCAACCUGCUGCACCUAAGGCUGCUUGGGAGGUUGCAAUUGAAAAAUUGGCAAAUAGUACCACUCAAGAAAUUCAAAAUCUACAGGCAACAGUGAAAAACAUGGAAAACAGAUGGGGCAGAUUGCUUUGCAGGUUUCUGGAAGGGCACCGGGUACAUUUCCCAGUCAAACCGAACCAAAUCCUAAGGGAGGUGCCGAUUGCAAGGCAGUUAGAGUUCUACGUUCCGGCAAAAGUUUUGAUAACAGGGAUGAAAAUUGCGAUCAAAAUUCGCGGGUGGCUUCGCAGCCAAAAACAGAUUCGGGGAAUGUUGAAAAAUCUACCAAUUCGAAAGAUUCUGAACAGUCCUUGAACAGUUCCGAAAAUGGUGCAAAUAUUGUUACGGAUCGCGUGUAUGAGCCACCUAUGCCUUAUCCCGAAAGAUUGAAGCCUAAAGUUAAAGAUCAACAAUUGGCAGAUUUUAUGAAGACUUUGUCUAAGGUUCAGAUUAAUCUGCCGUUAAUUGAUGCCAUCAAGAACAUUCUGUCUUAUGUUAAGUUUUUGAAAGAUGUUUACACAAAGAAAAAGAAGCUUGUUGAUUUUGAGAAAGUGAUUCUUACAGAAUAGUGCAGCGCUGUUCUGCUUCACAAGUUGCCCCUAAAGAAACGAGAUCCAGGGAGUUUUACAAUUUCAUGCACAAUUGGAAAUUCUCAUUUUAAACGUGCUUUAAUUGAUUUAGGUGCUAGUAUUAAUUUAAAGUCUUUUUCUGUUUUUCAGAGACUAGGACAAGGAGAAAUCAAGCCUACAUCAGUUAUUCUACAACUAGCGGACCGUUCAGUUGCUUAUCCAAGGGGUAUUAUUGAAGACCUAAUUAUUAAAGUGGAUAAUCUCUAUCUUCCUGCAGAUUUUGUGAUUUUGGAUAUGGAUGAAGAUAUGCAAACACCGAUUAUUUUGGGAUGUCCCUUCAUGGCAACAGCUAGAACGUUAAUUGAUGUAGAGGCUGGAACACUUACACUUAGAGUGCAAGAUAAAUCUGUUGUGUUCAGUUUGUUUGAAGCUACUAAAAGGCCAGGUGAUGUGCAUGAUUGUAUGCGUAUUGAUGUGCUUGACAGCUUAUUUCAUGCUGAAAUUAUGCCACGUUUGACAUAUGAUCCAUUGUUAAAUGUGUUGCAUGGGUUUGAGAAGAAAAAUACAGAAGAUGAAGAGGUUUUUGAGUAUGUGUUGGCUUUGGAAAGUGUUUCAUUUCAACCCCCACAUUGGAGGCAUGUUUUUGAGAGUUUGGGGGAACCCAAAAAGCUGUUGCAGCCUUCUAAGGUACAGCCACCUAAACUGGAGUUAAAGGUGCUUCCAGAACACUUGAAAUAUGCUUAUUUGGGUGCAGAUUCUUCGCUGCCAGUUAUUAUAGCUGCUGAUUUAUCAUCAACAGAAGAAGAUAAAUUGUUGCGCAUUUUAAGGAGUCAUCAAGAUGCAAUUGGCUGGACUAUAGCUGACAUUAAAGGGAUCAGCCCUACAAUUUGUAUGCACAAAAUUUUGAUGGAAGAUGGAGUAAAGCCUGCCAUUGACGCUCAACAUCGUUUGAAUCCAAUUAUGAAAGAAGUUGUUCGUAAUGAAGUUAUGAAACUUUUAGAUGCUGGGAUGAUUUAUCCCAUUUCAGAUAGUAAGUGGAUUAGUCCAACUCAAGUAGUGCCAAAGCGUUCUGGUAUUACAGUUGUGAGGAAUGAUAAUAAUGAACUUGUACCUACUCGUUUGACUACUGGGUGGCGUAUGUGUGUUGAUUAUAGAAAGAUCAAUGCAGGUACUAGAAAAGAUCAUUUUCCAUUGCCAUUCAUUGAUCAAAUGUUGGAAAGGUUGGCUGGUCGUGCUUUCUAUUGUUUCUUGGAUGGCUAUUCAGGGUAUAACCAGAUUCCAGUUGCCCCUGAGGAUCAAGAAAAGACAACCUUUACUUGUCCUUUUGGGACUUUUGCAUAUAGAAGAAUGCCUUUUGGUUUGUGCAAUGCGUCUGCCACAUUUCAGCGUUGCAUGAUGAGCAUAUUUACCGGGUUAGUUGAACAUAUAGUUGAGGUAUUUAUGGAUGACUUUUUCUGUUUUUGGGGAUUCUUUUGACCAAUGUUUGCAGAAUUUAUCUCUAGUUCUUGAAAGGUGCAUUAAGACCAACCUGGUUUUAAAUUGGGAAAAGUGUCAUUUCAUGGUUAAGCAGGGAAUUGUCCUAGGCCACUUGAUUUCUAACAGGGGUAUUGAAGUUGAUAAGGCUAAAAUUGAUGCAAUUGAAAAGUUGCCACCCCCAACAAUUGUUAAGAGUGUUCGAUCUUUUCUUGGUCAUGCCGGGUUUUAUAGACGGUUCAUCAAAGAUUUCUCCAAGAUUAGCCGACCAUUGUGUAAUUUAUUGGCUAAGGAUGCACCUUUUGUUUUUGAUGAGGCUUGUUUGGAGGCCUUCAAGAACUUAAAGACACUCCUCACUACAGCACCCAUUAUUGCAGCGCCUAAUUGGAGCCUACCUUUUGAAUUGAUGUGUGACGCAUCAGAUUAUGCAGUGGGAGCAGUUCUUGGACAGCGGAAAGAUAGACUUCCCCAAGUUAUUUAUUAUGCUAGUCGAACCCUCAAUGAUGCACAACUCAACUAUGCUACCAUAGAGAAUGAAUUGUUGGCAAUUGUUUUUGCAUUGGAAAAAUUUCGUUCGUAUUUAGUUGGGGCUAAAGUGAUUGUUUAUACAGAUCAUGCAGCUUUGAAAUAUUUGUUGUCUAAAAAAGAGGCUAAGCCUCGAUUGAUACGUUGGAUUCUUUUAUUGCAAGAGUUUGACUUAGAAAUCAAAAAUAAAAAAGGUAGUGAAAAUGUGGUGGCUGACCAUUUAUCUAGAUUAAUUAUUCCCACAGCUUCAGAAGAGGAUUCCCUACCACUGAGGGAAAGUUUUCCAGAUGAACAAUUAUUUGCAGUCCAAUUCCGUACACCAUGGUUCGCUGAUAUUGUUAAUUAUUUGGUUAAAGGUGUAGUGCAUCCAGAAUUAACAUUGCAGCAGAAAAAGAAGUUUUUAUCUGAUGUCAAGGAUUAUUUCUGGGAUGAACCAUACCUAUUUAAGUAUUGCCCAGACCAGAUUAUUCGCAGGUGUAUUCCUGAAGCCGAACAGGAAAGUGUUUUAAAGUUUGCUCAUCAUUUUGCUUGCGGGGGAUAUUUUGGAUAGAAAAGGACAGCAGAGAAGAUUUUGCAAAGUGGGUUAUUUUGGCCUACACUUUUUAAAGAGGCACAUAAUUGGUGCAAGGCUUGUGAUAGGUGUCAAAGAGUCGGCAACUAGUCCAAAAGGAAUGAGAUGCCCCAGCAAAGUAUUUUGAUUGUUGAAUUAUUUAACGUUUGGGGUAUUGAUUUCAUGGGACCAUUUCCAUCUUCCCAUGGGAACCAAUAUAGUUUAGUUGCUGUGGAGUAUGUUUCUAAGUGGGUCGAGGCCAUUGCAGCACCAACUAAUUAGGGAUUAGUGGUCCUGAAGUUCCUCCAAGGGGUUAUAUUUCCGCGUUUUGGAAUUCAACGCGUUAUUCUUACUGAUGGGGGGAAGCACUUUAUUAAUAAACCAUUUGCUAAUUUGUUGGCAAAAUAUGGGAUUAAUCAUCGUGUGGCUACACCUUAUCAUCCACAGACAUCUGGGCAAGUGGAAGUUUCAAACAGAGAAUUAAAACGCAUUUUGGAGAAAACAGUUGGUUCAACACGUAAAGAUUGGAGUUUAAAAUUAAAUGAUGCAUUGUGGGCCUACAGGACAACUUAAAAAACUCCUAUUGGGAUGUCACCAUUUCGACUCGUUUAUGGGAAAGCAUGUCAUCUACCUAUGGAGCUUGAGCAUAAGGCUUAUUGGGCAAUUAAAGAGUUAAAUUUUUCGUAUGACUCAGCUGGGGAACAACGUAAAUUGCAGCUCAAUGAGCUGGACGAAAUUCGUCAGGCUGCUUAUGAAAGUUCUCGCAUCUACAAGGAAAGAACUAAAGCGUUUCUUGAUAGUCAAAUUUUACGGAAAGAAUUUCAGCCAGGGCAAAAGGUUAUGCUAUUCAGUUCAAGGCUAAAGUUGUUUCUAGGGAAAUUGCAAUCUCGUUGGACUGGGCCAUAUCUAGUUACAAAAGUAUUUUCUCAUGGGGCAGUUGAAAUAACUAAUGAGGCCCAAGGCAACGCAUUCAAGGUGAACGGUCAGGCUGAAACCAUACGUGGAGUCACCUUUUGAUACUGCAUACGAGUCUUUGACUCUGAAGGAACCAGUGAUCUAGCCACCGGACUUCCGCAACGUCUAGCUACAGACUUAAAAUAAAGCGCUAAUUGGGAGGCAACCCAAUUUUUCUAAACUCUUUCCUAAUUUUAAAUUUCGUUUGAUUUUCUCUUUAAUAAAAAAAUAAAUUAAAAAAAAAACAUACAUAAAAAAAAAGAAAAAAAAAACGAAAAAUUCAAAAAAUGGAAGAUUGCAGGUUGAUUUUAUUUACCCAGUUUAUUUGAUUUUAUUUUAAUUUUUUAACGCAUAUUGGUUAAUUGCAGGUUGCGACCGUGGAAAAUAAAGCGCAUCCUAUGCUGGAAUCCUGCACCCAGCAGCAAGUCUAACGUUCACAUCAACCACAUCUACACUAUGCUGGAAAUUUAAAGCACUCAACAUAACAAGUCAUUCAUAGAUGCAAGUUUGGGGGAGAUUGUUGCAGAUCCAGCACAGAGACAAAAUUUUGACCAGUUAAUUUUCUGCAGCUCAGUUUUGCGAUGCAUGGAGGAGAACCACAGUUAAAUCACAAAUCCAUACACCACAAAACUGAGUACAACUUUUAUUACCAGAUCUACAACAAUUCAACUUGCAAGGAUAUGAAAUUUUACGUCCCAGAUUCACCGAUCUGGGCUCUUGGAAGCUUGUGCCGUUUUUGUCUAUUGAAGCUGAUGUUUGUCCGUCCACUUUAUUUCCCACGGAUCUAUUAGUGAUCCACAUUUCCUGAACAUUUCACAACAGAAAGACUAAUGACACUUUGAUUUUCAUGAUCCAGGUUAUGUAUCACUUAUAACACACAAGCUUGUGGAAGUCAUAUUUUCUGAAGGUCUUAUUCAUGUUGUUAUUUGUUCAUCAAAUCUGGGGUCCUUUACGUUUUAGGGUCCAUACUUUUCGUGGUCAUUUAGUCUUCGUUAAGUCUCCCGCAUUUCAAGUUCACUUUCAUCAUAUUGUUGGAAAUGUGCCCUAAAGCCAAUCAUGUGAUGAUACUUUACGAACAUUUCACAUGUUAAACUAAUCUAGUUUUACAUAUAAAGGGCAAAGAUUAUUGUUUGAGCCGUCUCAUAUAAAUGUUAUAUGCUUAAACGAUAAAGUCCAAGGAAUAUGUGAUUGGGAGAAUGUAAUCUAAUGAAGUUAGAUUCAUGAGACCAUUCUUUCGUAGACACAUCCUAAACGUUCCUGAUCAUAGGAUUGCCAAUUGGGCGUUGACAGUCCAUUAAGAUCAGUACGUACUAUGUCUUCUCUCAGGGAGAGUGAUUAGUCUCGAAUCAUUGGUGUGUGUGACAUCAAGACAAGUACGGUAGGUGCUCAAUAGAGAAUGAGUUCACUGAACGCGAUCAACGAAGAGUUCUCAUAUUCCAUGUCACAUGAGAACUCAUGGUUGGGAUAAUGCAAAGUAGUCCUUUGACCUGAGGCAUCAUAGUUGUCUUGUGGUUAAGUCCUUGAUCUUUGAUUAUGUCAAAGUCACUCCAUCAUGAGGGUGUCCACGGCAUCGUUGGGGUCAAGCCACUUAGCUAUGGAGACAAGUGAAUGCGCAACAAGGGAUCUCUAACCUUCAAACCGUUUGAGGGAGAAUACUCUCUGAUAUGAUUUGAAUCUCUGGCUAGAGUAUGAAUGAGAUUAGGGAAUGCGUUCCGAAUCACAUUCAAGGAAAUCAUAUAAGCACAAGACACACAUUGGAUAGUAGACAUGAGAAAAUAAACUAUCAAACCAAACAAUGUGGUCAAGAGUAUUAGAUUAGAGAAAGACCGUAUUGCAUUUGUAAUCUCGAACUGAAUAGGUUCUCCACCUCUUCUGAUUAGCUUGGGUAACCAUGAUAUGCUGCUAGGUGUCACUCAUGGUUUGUGGAAGCCCUAAACGUGUGUAAUCACUAAAGGGAGAAUUGAAAAUAGUUUCAAUUCACAAUCGAUGUAAAAUGGUUUUAAUCGCCCACUACCUCGCUAAAAGGAACCUAAUGGAUCGCACACCAUAAAAGGUAGAGAUUGGAGAUUAAACGGAAAUGAGUAAGAAUGAUUAAAUGGUUUAAUCAUUUAUUUAUGGCAAGGAUUAAUUAAUAUGUUAAUUAAUCAAACGAAUAAGUUCGUUAAAGACUUCGGGAUAGUUUUGGACCUUAAGGCCCAAUGGGCUUCGAACGUCAAGCCCAUUAACUUAAGUUGUAUGACAAUUUAAUGAAUAAAGAUUCAUUAAAGCCCAAAAGCCCAAAUCCCUAGGUGGCCGGCCAUGAAGAUGAAUUAGGGUUUUGGUUGUUUUUAGGUCACUUAAAGAAGUGACUAUAUAAAUGACUUUAUAGCCAAAUAUUCAUUAAGGAUUAAAAGGGUUAAUUUUUGGGGAAAAUUGGUGAGAAUUGUCUCUCCAUUUUCUCUCUAAAGAGGCCAACACCUUGGAGGGUACAUCUAGCAAUCCUACUACUCCAAGGUCACUCAUUUCUUCUACAAUCUAACCUUGGUGAAGAGACUUAGAGGUUCUCAAUUUUGGGAACUUGGAGAACCUAUUCUUCCAUCCAAAUCCAUGGAUCUAAGAAGCAAGGAAUGAAGGCCCUAUCUCUUUGGGUGAUUAGCCUUUGCUUAUGCAAAGAGGAAUCUACAAAGGUAUUAAUUUCAACUCACUUUGUUUUGAGUUGAAUAUUGGUUCACCAAUCUACUAGGCUUUGAAUUUCAUGGUAAUGUUUUGUUUUUUGAGUGCAUACAAGCAUGAUUCCGCCUUUAAUUGUUAAUUGCAUGCUAUAUGAUGUUGCUCAAAUGAACAUGUUUUCCCAAAAGAUUUCCUUCAAGUGGUAUCAGAGCCUAGGUCUAGUAGUUGGUGAAUCCUUUUGGGGUUUUGUAGUUCAUAAGUUUGUGAUUUAAAAGUUGUAAUUGUUACAAGCUUUAUUCUUGCUUCUUUGAAAGUAAAUUUUGUUGGAAAAUUUGCUAUCUCAAAUGUUGUAGAUGUUGUUCAUAUGAGCAUGAAUAUUGGAGCUAAAAUUUGGUGCCAUGCUUUUGGGAAAAUUCGGCCAAAACCAAAGGGUGGUUUUUUGGGUUCUUGUUUGACUUGUUAAAAGUGUUUUAAUGUGUUCUUUGGAACCCCUAAGUACCCUAGUUUGGUUAGAUGUUAUUUCCCUUAAGUAAGAAUGGUUUUGGAAUGUUUUUGGGUGAAAAGGUUCGUGGAAAAAUUUAGGUUUUUCAUGGAUGUUCUUCAUUGUUCUUGAUGUUCUUGCCAAGAACAAAAAGGUUUGGUGUUUUGAUUCAAAGUUUUGAUUUAUUUCAUAAAGUUUAUGUGAUUUGUUUUUAAAUGAUUUAUCAUGUAUUUAAAGUGUUAAAUAUUUGUAUAAAUGAUGAUUGAAAUAAUUGUGAUUGAAUUAUUUUCAAAACUUAUCCUUUCACAUACACUUGCAUGAUUAAUUUUGACAAAACUCACAAAUCAACACACACAUCACUCUUAUCCUCUCCCCAAAACCGGCCACUCCCUCAAAGGGAGUACUUUUGGGGCUUUUAUGCAAUUACAUAAAGUUUUGAUACUUUUGUGUAUUUGCACUUUGGCCCAAAAGUUUACGUUUUUACGUUUAGGUCCAAAAACGCUAAAGGACAAAUUGUUUUGUUCCUUUAAUGAAGUUUUUGCAUUAUUAAAAGUUUGGGUUCUAGUUGUAUUUACAUGAAGUUGUGACUUUUGUGUAUUGUACAAAGUGACCCCAAAAGUUUUUGUUAUUUGCAAUAUGGCCCAAAAAGUUGAGGUUAAUUGCAUGAUGGCCCAAAUAGGAUGAGAACAAAAUUGUUUUGUCUCUUUAAAUGAGAAUUGGAUUUUCAUUUUGUUUAGCUCCAUUUAAAUCAAUUUUAUGGAUACAAAAACCAAAUGAAAAUGUUGCAUUCAAUUUAAUUAGUUAAAGUGUUAAUUAAUUAAAGGGUGAUUAUGAACCUAAGCCUAAUAUAAUUGAGCUAUGUGAAAGGCGUUUCAAAUUUGUUUGAACCAUGGGAAUGUGUAGAUUAGAUUUUGGUUGUAAUUUGAUUUGAUCAAAUGUUGUAAAAGGGCUUAAGCUCUUCUUUACUUUAAAGUAAUUUGUUUUAUGCAAAUGUUGUAAUGAGCAUAAGCUCACCUUUACUUUGAAGUACUUCUUUCUUGCUUUAUUUGAUAUGCAUGAAAAUGAAGUAGUUGGGUCCAACGCCCCUAAGACAACACGCCUUAAUGUGAUUAAACGCGUAACUAAAAUCAAUCACCAUCCCUAGACCGAGAUUCAACACAAGGCUCGUGUUGAAUCUAAACAAAGGUUCAUAAUCAUCCUAAGGCCCUAAGGCAACUAUAUAGUCCAUCAAAUGAAUGCAAAGUUUAUGUUAGUAGUAUCAUAUACUCUUGCUUUAAAAACCGUUUUUUAAAAGCAUAGUGGGAGUAUUAUGUACAACUAAAACAAUCAUAUGGACCAAUAGUUGUAAUAGGACCAAAAUUGUUUUAAUAGAGAUUAAAAUGAAUAUUUAUAUGUGAUGAGACCUAAAACCCUCAACCAAACCAAUUAUUAAGUUGAUAAGCGUGAGAGUGCUUUAGAACAUCUCUUCGUGGCCUUCCACCGUGGUAGGGCUCCAAUCGUUUAUGACUUGUACACCGGCUUCACCCUAUCAUGGGGGAGUACAAAGUGCAUGCUUAUACUCAGGAGGAAUCCAUAUACAUAUGAUGAGGUGAGUGUAGGCAACGAGGAUGGCCAACAUCGUAUCAUCGUGAGGCUAUUCUUGAACCCCUACGAACUAAGCAUGGUGGGAAUGACUUAACUAAGUGCAAUGGAGCCAACAUCAUAUCAUUGUGAGGUGACAUUCUCUAGAGGCCAAAUAAGAUGGGUACUUGCAUUAGUUGCAAAUGAGUAAGCGUACUCUCUCAUUAUUAUUGUUGCUAGCCAUACAUCGUAUCAUUCGUGAGGUGGGCUUGGUAAUAGUGAGCCUCCCAUAACCUACUAAGGAGUUUCAUCCAAAACUCUCGAAUUCCAAUGAGGGAUAUGGAAUUUGCCAAAAAUAGUGGGUGGUGCUAUUUUGAUUUAAAGACCCGAAUCAAAUGGCUUAAAAUCAAUCAAUUUAUAUUCGUUAUGUAUUUGUUUACCAAUAUAUUUGCAAACGCUAUCCAACACUUGACAAAUAAAAGCCGAACGUUUAGUUUACCGGACUUGGUACUACAAAACCAUAGAUUGUCUUUAAUGGCUUGUAAAUGUACCUAAGUAGUCUCAUCCUCACAAUCUUCCUAUUGAUAAUGUAUCAUUAGAAGAAUAUGUUAGAAAAGGUCUAUCAUAAAGAGGACAACACUUUUAAUGUCAUAAUUCUUCAAUUACAAAUUGUUGUAUGAAGAAAUAAGGAGUUGCUUUGAACAACCCUUAGUCAAUGCAAACACUUAGUGCUUGUUUCUUUGUUAAAUGAACAAGGAACUUGAGAAGAAAGCACAAAGGCAUGGACACUUAAUGUGCCAUGAUUCUUCACUUACAAAUUGUUGUAUGAAGAAAUGAGAGUUGCCUUGUACAACUCUUGAAAGUUUGUAAUUAUGUUUAGAACAUAAUGGUUGGUUGACAAAAAUAGUCCAUUAACAUGGACUUAUGAUGAUUUUGAAUCAUUGAAGUGUUGAAGUGAUAAAACCACUUAACGAGACGGAAACUAGGCAAGGACUUCACCUUUGUUUCCCUAUCCUAAUGGUUCACUAAGUUUAUUGUAAACUAUGUGUAGUGAACAAUAACCACAUGCUCUCCAAAAUGUUUGAUGUGUAUAACACAAUUGAAAAAGGUUUCAAGAGAGAUAGUGGGAGUUUUAGGGACCAUGACUAUUGUAGUCAAAGGAGAAGUCAAAUGAAAGAAGAUAAAUAAACUCCAAGGGAACAAACUUUCUUUAUGAAAGGAUGGACAUUGGAAGGGGUAUUUGCAAGAAAUGUCUUGCAAGUGUCAAGAACACACCUUUCGAAGGUGUUGUAAAAUUGUUCUUGAAUAGUUCAAAACAGUUGGUUCUUCUACUUGAAUGCUUGAUUCCGUAUUAGUAACUAUGUUUUACAAUCGUUGUAAAAGUGUGACUAAUAAGAAGUAGAAGAUAUAAUGAGAGAAGAGAAAGGUACUUCACAUUCGGAAACGUGAAUCAAAUAUAGAUCUCUGCGAAAGCAGAUGGUACUUACUUCCUCAUAUGAACUACCAAAGAAAUUGGAAAAACAUAGAUUGUCUUUAUAUUCCAAUUUUAAGGAACUAAAUUCCGUCACUAUGUGAAAUGGAUAAAUGUUUUGUUUGACAAAACAAUUGUUCUUUAUUAAUCAAUGAUUGGAUUAUGGUAAUCUAAUUAAUUGUCUCUAUAGUAGAGAUAAUAUGGUAGUGUUAACUGUUUAGAAAAUAAUGAUGCUUAAAACCCAAAAGGUUGCAAGGUAGUGACUAAUCCCAACUAAAGUUGUGAUACCUCUAAAACAUAAAUUACGAGUUGGUCAUAAAUGGAUGCUUUGGAUCGUUAGAUCCGGAUCCAAUACCUUCUUGUUAAAAUUGUAUAGAGGCGAAAUGUUCGAAUCUUUAUUCUUUUGGAAAGAAGAAAGAAUCACAAAGUUGUUGAGGUUAAUUCACUUAGAUGUUAGUGGCACUUGUCCACAAACAUAAUACUACUCAUGUUGAUAUGACAUUCACCGAAGAUCACUCUCGGUUGGACUAUAGUUUAUUUUGAAUAAACACAAGUCCGAAUACUUUGCAAAAUGUUUCAAAGAAUUCAAGAAAUGUAAGUUGAUGAGUAAGACAUCUAAAGUAUUUACCUCCUUAGAUUUGAUCCAAGGAAAGGUAACACUUUAGAUAAGUUUCCUUGAAAGAUAUCAAGGAAAAUAGCAUCAUAAAGAUAAUGUAUUUCUCCAUUAGGAGAAGAACGAACUCGAAUAAGAUUUAGUUCGUUAGAUGUUAUCUAUUACCCAUAUAUAGGAUAUAUACUUCUAAAAACAAUAUGAUUGUCAAUGAGAAGAUCUUCCAAUAUUUUCAUGACUCCAUAAGAUGUAGUUGGAAAGAAAGACAAAUCUUAAGCAUGUUAAAGAUUUGGGGUUGUGUGCUAAUAAGCAAUAUUUGUUUGAUAACAAUCUUGUAGGAUAUCCUUAAAAUUAACUUUUGGAUAUCGCUUCUAUAAACCAACUAACAAAUGUUGUUUUGUUGGGUAGUUCAUUGUAAUUCUACAAUGUGAUUUGCCUAAAAGCAAAUGAACGAGAGAUAGAACUCAAAGAAUGGGUUCUUUGAGAGACAAGAUAAGUAAUCAACAAAUAUAACAACCUAGUUCCUAUACCACAAGCUCCAAGGUAGUCGAUAAGGAUUUAUAAACCGUCUCAGUUGAAUGGUUUUGAACUUUAUGACUACAUUGAGUGCAUAUACGAUAUAUACUCAAGGAAAAUGGUAAAGUACCAUUUGACUCGAAAUAAUGAAACCUUCAUAGCUAAUUGGUAGCUUAAGGUGACUACAAUCAAAGAGAAUGGUUGACUUUGAAGAAACCAUCUUUGACGAUAGUCUUGGUUUCAAUUAAUUCGAAGAUUGCUAGCUACAACUAAAUGGUGAUUCAAUGUUUGGACAUAAUAUGGGUUUCCGAAACCAUUAUUAAGAUAGUCUUGAUAAUAUAUGUCUAAAACUAUAAAUCACAAGACAUGUAAGUUGUAGAGAUCCAUCCAUCAUGGAUCUUAGCAAGUUAGUGGGAGCUAUUUGCAUUUUAUGAGAAAAAAGGAUCAAAUCGUUUGAUUUCUCAUAAAGAUGUAAAUGAAUCUUUUGUUUACUAGUUUUUACAAAAGAUUAGUGGGAGUUAAUCAUGUUCCUAAAAAUUUAAAUAUAUAUGAUAUAUUAAUUUUGGAAAUGAAAAGAAUACUUCUUCGUUAAAGUUAUGACUUUAAUACAUUAUAUGAAGAUAGAAUGUAUAUGGGAGAUAUAGUCUAUAUACAUGGGAUGGAAAUCUAUAAUGAUAUAUUUCAUGAUAUAAUUGGAUUAUAUCAAUCCCUAAUAAUAGACAAUGGAUGCUAGGAAGUUUCUCAUAUGAUGAUAAACUUCAAUAAGAAGGACGAUUCUAGUGAGACUAGCAAGUUGCCCUUCUCAAAGGGAACGUACCCUUUGACUCCCAAAGAAAUAAUGCGUAAAUUGAAUCCUUUAUGCAUACGCAGAAAGGUGAUUUAUGUAUUUCAUAUUGUAUGAAAAACAUUGAUAUGAGUUGUACCUAGAACGGUACAAGACGAUAUCAGUGCAAGCCCAGGAUCAGAACCAUGGCAACUGUCAAGUGAGUCCUUAAGUAUUUAAGAAAUACUAAAGGAUAAAUUCCUCAAAGAAUCGAGGAAGAAUUAAAGUAACGUAAUGGAAGCGUAAAUGUAUUAGAUUAUGAAUCUAAUCCAUCAUUGGAUGUUUCUUCAUUAUGAAUGAAGAGAUAAACGAAUAUCUCUUUAUUAUGACUAAAGAGAUAUUUGGAUGGAAACAUUAAAGUAAUGACUUUAGUGUGUUCCAUUAUGAAUGCAAGAUAUAUUGCCAUAUAGAAGUUUACAACAAUGUUGUUUGGAUGGGAAAGUUCAUUUAUGAACUCUCUAUUCGGUUCCAACCAGAAAGUGUAUGACACUAAUGGGGCGAUAGCUCAAGCCUGGGAAUCAAGGUCUCAUCAAGAUCCGAACUCAAAUGAGAGACUGAACCACAUGAUUGAGAAUCAUGUAUAAUGGUGACGUCGUUAUUCUCAAGGUUGCUUCUAUGGAUAACACAUAUAGAUAUCCACUGUCUAGGCCUACUAUUCAGCCAUUUAUGAAAUGACUACAGAAGAGGUAUCAUCAAGAUGACCAAGCUGAUUGGCUCUAGUGCAAGUGGGAGAUUGUUGGAAAUGUGCCCUAAAGCCAAUCAUGUGUGAUGAUACUUUACGGACAUUUCACAUGUUAAAACUAAUCUAGUUUUACAUAUAAAGGGCAAAGAUUAUUGUUUGAGCCGUCUCAUAUAAAUGUUAUAUGCUUAAACGAUAAAGUCCAAGGAAUAUGUGAUUGGGAGAAUGUAAUCUAAUGAAGUUAGAUUCAUGAGACCAUUCUUUCGUAGACACAUCCUAAACGUUCCUGAUCAUAGGAUUGCCAAUUGGGCAUUGACAGUCCGUUAAGAUCAGUACGUACUAUGUCUUCUCUCAGGGAGAGUGAUUAGUCUCGAGUCAUUGGUGUGUGUGACAUCAAGACAAGUACGGUAGGUGCUCAAUAGAGAAUGAGUUCACUGAACGCGAUCAACGAAGAGUUCUCAUAUUCCAUGUCACAUGAGAACUCAUGGUUGGGAUAAUGCAAAGUAGUCCUUUGACCUGAGGCAUCAUAGUUGUCUUGUGGUUAAGUCCUUGAUCUUUGAUUAUGUCAAAGUCACUCCAUCAGGAGGGUGUCCACGGCAUCGUUGGGGUCAAAGCCACUUAGCUAUGGAGACAAGUGAAUGCGCAACAAGGGAUCUCUAACCUUCAAACCGUUUGAGGGAGAAUACUCUAUGAUAUGAUUUGAAUCUCUGGCCAGAGUAUGAAUGAGAUUUAGGGAAUGCGUUCCGAAAUCACAUUCAAGGAAAUCAUAUAAGCACAAGACACACAUUGGAUAGUAGACAUGAGAAAAUAAACUAUCAAACCAAACAAUGUGGUCAAGAGUAUUAGAUUAGAGAAAGACCGUAUUGCAUUUGUAAUCUCGAACUGAAUAGGUUCUCCACCUCUUCUGAUUAGCUUGGGUAACCAUGAUAUGCUGCUAGGUGUCACUCAUGGUUUGUGGAAGCCCUAAACGUGUGUAAUCACUAAAGGGAGAAUUGAAAAUAGUUUCAAUUCACAAUCGAUGUAAAAUGGUUUUAAUCGCCCACUACCUCGCUAAAAGGAACCUAAUGGAUCGCACACCAUAAAAGGUAGAGAUUGGAGAUUAAACGGAAAUGAGUAAGAAUGAUUAAAUGGUUUAAUCAUUUAUUUAUGGCAAGGAUUAAUUAAUAUGUUAAUUAAUCAAACGAAUAAGUUCGUUAAAGACUUCGGGAUAGUUUUGGACCUUAAGGCCCAAUGGGCUUCGAACGUCAAGCCCAUUAACUUAAGUUGUAUGACAAUUUAAUGAAUAAAGAUUCAUUAAAGCCCAAAAAGCCCAAAUCCCAUUAGGUGGCCGGCCAUGAAGAUGAAUUAGGGUUUUUGGUUGUUUAGGUCACUUAAAGAAGUGACUAUAUAAAUGACUUUAUAGCCAAAUAUUCAUUAAGGAUUAAAAGGGUUAAUUUUUGGGGAAAAUUGGUGAGAAUUGUCUCUCCAUUUUCUCUCUAAAGAGGCCAACACCUUGGAGGGUACAUCUAGCAAUCCUACUACUCCAAGGUCACUCAUUUCUUCUACAAUCUAACCUUGGUGAAGAGACUUAGAGGUUCUCAAUUUUGGGAACUUGGAGAACCUAUUCUUCCAUCCAAAUCCAUGGAUCUAAGAAGCAAGGAAUGAAGGCCCUAUCUCUUUGGGUGAUUAGCCUUUGCUUAUGCAAAGAGGAAUCUACAAAGGUAUUAAUUUCAACUCACUUUGUUUUGAGUUGAAAUUGGUUCACCAAUCUACUAGGCUUUGAAUUUCAUGGUAAUGUUUUGUUUUUUGAGUGCAUACAAGCAUGAUUCCGCCUUUAAUUGUUAAUUGCAUGCUAUAUGAUGUUGCUCAAAUGAACAUGUUUUCCCAAAAGAUUUCCUUCACAUAUCAUGUUCGUCUGUAUGUUGUUAGUUCGAUUCAUGUUCAAACCCGCAUAUACAUAUGGUUUUUGUUAACAUUUUUCAAAGUUCCAUGGACGAAAUUAAUCAUGACAUUUAAACAAGAGCAGGGAUGAGUUUAUACCUUCAUAAUCGAUAGAUCAAGACUUUCAUGAUGUGCCAUGCUUUAUGUCCAGUGGAUUUUCAUUUUGAGAGUUCUUUCUCCGGUCUGUCACGGAUCUGAGUGUUGUGCACAAAUACCACACCAUUAUAAUUACAUGCAGAGGUGAUGAAGCUAUUUUCUUACAACAUGGGGUUCAUUAACCUACGGAGUACAAGAUUUUUACCUUUUGCAGGAACUGGAUCUACAUUGUAGCUGGUUUUCAUUUUUCUUGUCAUGGUUAAGCUUCCAGAUCGAGGACCUGUGCCCACAAACGAAAUAAACAUCAGUAUACACAUGCAGUAUGGCGUAUCUGAGACAUAAAACCCAUCAUAUGGAGCUGCUCGAGUAACAUUAAACAGAUGCACAUAUCUUACCUUCACAUUUCCAUGGCAGAAGUUGAAGGGUUUCGGGUUUCCGCAAAGACAAGGACGUGGUGUAGGUCGGCUCGGAUUUGCAACUCUUGGGGGUCCUCACACAGCUGAAACGACAUGCAUGUGUUAGAUCUCACUGCAUUUCACUCAUACACAUAACUCUGAAACUGAACCCAAAAGAUUUUUGAGGGAUUUACCUUCCUUCAUCUCAGCUUUUCCACUCUUGUCACCAUGGUUGUGUUCGAGAAACACGGAGGUGUGUAGAUAGCUGGGCUGUUGGUUGCAGCACGGAAGCCACGUUUAGCGAGGAUGCAGAAGCAGCUGUGGAAAGGAGGGAAAAAUGUGGGGGAAAGAGGUAUUUUUCGUUUUACAGAGACAUGGGAUCCGAAAGAAAUGAGAAAAACAAUAAAUGGGAGGAAGAAAGAGUUGCUGUGAAAUGGAGAGAGUAAAAGCAUUUUCAGACUUUUCUAGAGAGAGCUAGAUGGGCAUAUGGGGUUGAUCUUAACCCUUGAUUUGGAAUCCUAUGGCGCUCAUCUUUCCGAUGCAUGACAAGUGGGCGCAUCCUCUUCUUUUAGGCUCCCGAAGACACGGUUUGUGGGGAGAGAGCCCUUUGGGCUCUGUGUUUGAUGACUGACAGAGACAGAAAAAAAAAAAAUCUGCACGCCACUUUCACACGGCAUGCUAGUUGCAUGCCUUUCAAAAAGGGAAUCCAAAGUUUUAAAUUGUUGGUGCACGCCUGCUGUGCACAUGGAUUUGGUCCUAUCUUAAUCAAGUGGGUGCUGUGGCUGAUAAGUUUAUUUUAAAAAAUCUGCAUGCCAGCUGCCAGUCACUUUCAAAUAGGGAAUCCAAUGUUUUCAAGUUUUGGUGCACAUGUGCCGUGCAACUUCAUUAUUCAACCUUUUCAUUGGGCCACCUAUUUAUCCACCAGCAACGUCAUUUUCAAAGCCCAGGUAGUCUUUUUCUUUUUCUUUGGUUUUGUUACUCAUUUUCCCUUUUAUAAUUAUUAUAUGUUAGUUUAAGUUUAUUUCAUUUUUUUUAUUUUCCACACCUUGAGGACAAAGUGUGAAAUAAGUUUGGGGGUGAGUAAAUAACAUUUUAGGUCUUUAAUUUUUGUGUCGGUUAAAAGUUUUCAUUCUUUUUAAGUUAAUAUCCAUAGAUUAUUUUAAACGUUAGAACAAAUGGACAUGGUGAAGGUUAAUCCCACAUUAGAGUCUUUGCUAUUUAUCGUUGCUUAGACACUAAUUCAUGAAUUAUACUUUGAACUUUGCACAUCACACCAACAUGGUUUGUGGGGAGUGAGAUUGAAACACUUGCUUUUAGUAUAAGUUUAUUUUUAAUUUUUGUUUUAAGUAAAGUCAGUUAUUAUUGUGAAAAAAAGUAAUAAUUGUCUCACCUGAGGUUUUUCCUAGUAACCGGGCCAGUCCUGCCUAAUCAGCAGUGAUUCUCGCGUCAAACGGUAGAGUUUUGGCAUGGGGCAGGGUGGUUAGUUGGUUUCGUAGCCUUUUCAGCUCGGGUUAAUAAGUCCUUAGGGGUGUUCUACACCUAGUGCCCUAAAGCCCUAGUGGUUUGGGAGUCAUUGACCUAAAGCUCGCUACAUGGGUUGGAUCGAAAGCUUAAGUGAACCGACAUUGCACGACCACUACUGUUACUGAGAAAAAAAAAUUGUUAUAAAUGAGAAAAAAAAAGAAGAGAAAAAAAUUGAAGAGAAAAAGAAAAAGCAAAAUAGUUAUACUUAAAGUUAGUAUGUGUGAAAUAAAGAAAGACGAGAGAUAAGGGUUUUAGUCGAGUCUCCUUAACUAUGUGGUUCACUUUACACCAAAGGAAGUUUGUGAAUUCUUUUCUAAUUGAUUCUAAAUGGUUUAGACUCUGUGGUGGGAUUAGUUGGAACUUUUGAAAAGAUGUUCUAGUUUUUAAAAUUUGCUAUGGAUUGCAACUUGAAGGUGGAAGUUUUGUCUUGGUUGAGUUUUAGCCAGUUGUCUAGUUUGUUAAGUUUUUAUUUUUGUUUGAGUCUUGUUUUGCUUGAGGACAAGCAAAAAGCUAAGUUUGGGGGUAUUUGAUGAGUAGAUUUUAUAUUAUAUAUUUUACCCUAAUCUUAGUAUAUUUUGGCUAAUAUAUUGAUAGAAUUUUGAUACUUUGAAUUGUAUUUUCAAUAUAGGACUUCCGAAUUCCUCUGGAGCAAAACAGGACCAAAUGGACGACUUUUGGAGUAAUUCCAGUUGGAGGACGUUCGUGAGUCACUUAGCUUGAUCGUGUCAAAAAUUGGGAUUUUUCCACCAAGCGGUUAUUUUCUGACGAUGAAAUAAAGAAGCAGUGCGCAGUGCUGGAAAAUGACGUUUUUGGGCUUAAAUUGCGUUUUUGGAGCCCAAGAUGACCUCGGAUGGGUUUGUGGCCUUCUGGAAAAAUGUUCAGAAUAUUCCAAACAUUAAAUCCAGCUAUAUUGGGCCAGUUUUGGAGCAGCUUAUGGAUCAAAACGUGGCUGUUCAGAUUUUAGACGAAUUUUAUCAUUUAAUUUAGGCUUAUGUUUCCUAGGGUUUGUGUGGAGGCUUGGGAGAUAUAUUGCUUGGCCGUCUACAGUUUUUCUUUACGCUUUCUUUUAUGCAAUUUUGGGAGACAGAGAGAAUUGUUAGGGUUUUGAAGACUUUUUACUUGAAGGUGCUUUCAAUCCUUUUCUUGAAUAUAUUUUCUAUGAUUUCAAUUAUGAAUAUGCGGAACUAAUUUCUGUUGCUAGGGCGAAGCCUUGAGCCUUAGCAUGAAUAUGUGAUUUUUAUUUAAUUGCUUAUGAUUGAUUGCAUGUGUACUUUGAAUUGUUAAUCACCGGGAUAAAAACUAUCUAAUUGUCGUAAUGCCUGAUGACCAUUAGGAUCUUUAGAAAAGUAAUUUGAUGCAAUUUUGGUCGGAAGGUUCCCUGAAAUUGACGCUGGCUUCUUGUGAUUAAUAAUUGUAAUUUCUCUUAGGAUGAAUAUCACGUCUUAAGGAUUGCAUGGUUUUUCAAAGGAUUUUCAUAAAGCAUAAUGAGUCUUUCAUGUUUAGAUUUGAUCCGAACGUCCGGACGGGUUGCAUGUUAGAUAUAUGUUCUAUGUUGGAGGUUCCAAGUAGAAUAGGAAUUAGGAAAAUCUAACCUUCGAAGUGGCAUGUGUAGAUUAUAAGUAAUUGGUAAAAAUUCAUAGGAUUGCUAGGUGAUGGUGGAACCCUAGUGCUUUCUUAAUUUUAUUCUCCCAAAACAGUUUUCUUUUCUCUCUAGCUCUAAUAUUGCAGAUUGUUUAUUUUAAUUCAUUAAUUUGGUUUUUAUUUUAAUUAGGUUAUAAAAUCAAUCACUUCAAUUUCUAUUUUACAAUAAUUAAAUGGAAUCUGAUUAGUUCGAAUUUUUUAAUAAUCCCUGUGUAGACGACCUUGCGAGAUCCGUUUGUACUACAAUAACCUUGUGAUUCUUGCAAGUAAAAUAGGAGAUUUAAGCCCGUUCACAUGAGUAGUAAAAAUCCUAUCAGGAUCCAAACAUAUUCGUAGUAGUGUGAGUUGCAGCCGUGUCUUCAAGCUCAAGUUCAAUUUGUCCCUGUUGUGUUAGCUUUAUGAUGAGCUCCUUGAGAACAAAAUACUUACCAACCAGAUGACUCACGAUACGAUGGUAUUUGCAGUACCUAAGAUCGUUAACGUGAUUCAUAUCUUUAGGGCACUUGCAUUCAGGUAGCUUGAUUACUUUCUUUUCUAACAAGUCGUCUAGCAUUAUGGCCAAGUCAGAGUUCAAAAAAGGGUACGUCUUCUAGUCCAGUUCCCUCAAGGUGUUUUUAUACCUAUCUUGGGUGCGAGAAGGCUCACCUCUCUUCAUCUCCUUUGCUUUGUUCUUGGAGGAGAUCUUCACGAGCGCGAAUGAGGUCUUGAUGGGGGUAACGUUGACAGUAAAAGCUUCCUUGGCGAGCUUCUUCCUAGUCUUAUCCACCUUCGGAGCAAACACCUUGUCUUUCUUGAAGUCGUGAUUGGCUCUUUUUCCCAUGAUUGUUGAUACUCAACUCCAUGUUGUGUCAUCGAGUUGCCAACUCCUUAAACAUUCUCGAUUUUAUGCCCUAGAGGAUGUAAUGUAACCCCCAGUGCAUGCCUUGAACACACAUCUCAAUGGCGGAGGUUUCAGAAAGCUGAUCUUUACAAUCCAGACUUAAUGAACACCAUCUGUUGAUGAGAUAGUCUCCCUCCGUCCUAGUAUUGUUGCAGGUUUUGAUGAAAUGGCCAAUAUGUUGUUUAGGAUUGCCCUUUUCCAUUGAAUUGCAUGAAUUUUGGCAGCUAAUAACCCAUCAGCAUCCUCAAGGUGUCAAUCCUUUUAGAGUAUGGCUUUGAGUAUAGCACGGAAUCAACGCCUUGAUCGUGCUUGUGAUCAUCUCUUGUAGCUGUUGGAUAAAGAGAUAUCUCAUGAGCAUCGCAGCUCUAUCCACCUCUAGCUUCUCUUCGGCUCUUUCCACCAGAGGCUUUUGUUCUUGUCGAUUUUUUUCUUUGGUGGAUCAACCUUUAGGUCAGCUUUCUCAUUGUGAUGCGCGUUUUGACGAUUGAUGAGUGUAGGGAUCUGCAAGCCUUUUUCCUCUACGGUCCUUAUCAGCCUUGCGAUUACUUUGCUCAUUUAUGCCAGCUACUCCUUGAUGGAAGUUGCACCAAUAGUCAUGACUUGAAUGGCUACAGAUACGAACUACUGCUUGAUUCAGCAUUGAAAGUCAAUGACUCAGAGUACAUCAUCGGGCUUUCUUCCCUUGGUGCCCUUAGUGAGGCCAGGGUGAUCAUGGGCUCGUGUCUCUGGUGCUUUUGCUUAUUCAGCAGAGUUGAUGUAGGGGUGGAAGGCAUGGCAGAGAGAGCUCUUGCUUUACUUCGGGUUCUGAUGCCCAAAAUUCCACCACUUGCAGCAAGGAUGCUCUUGUUCUUCGUGUUGGUAACAGGAAUAGCUUGAUCAUUUGUUGAUGUCAUUUGUGCUUUUUUGCUGCUUUAAAGACAGAGAUGAGAGGCAGAGAGGUCCCACUGGGCAUGCCAAAUUUGUAAACAUGAAAAUUAUGUAACGAAUGAAACGAGAACACUUGUACAAAGUAGAUUUCUAUUGAUUUGAAUUUGUAGGUUACAAUCUCUAUUUACAAUUUUCCUAUGAUUCAGUCUUCAAAUUUCAUGUAAAUGCGUAGGUUGUUGAUCCAAGGGCCGCGAUGAAUUGAUCUCGGACGAAUGGUUGAAUGAUUGCUUUAAAUUUUAAGCUUGAAACAAUGCAUGGAUAGCCUUUACCUCAAGGUGCGGCAAAGAUGAUGUUGAUGCGGGAUUUCAUUGAUUCAAGGGUCUUGGCGACUUGAUCUUGAAAUGAACGUCAUUACACGUUUUAAGCUUGUAACAAAGUCUUGAAGCAAUUGGCACAGGUGCUUGUUGAUUCUUCAAGGGGAGUGCUUCGCUUUUAGUCAAAAGAAAGCUUCGGCUUUAGUUGUACGUUCUUCGAAGAGAGCUUUGGCAACAUAUUAAUCUUCAAAGAUUUGUGCAAUUUUCGACCCCUUUGUGUGUCUUAGAUCCUUGUAUUUAUAGACUUCCAAAGCCAUGCCUUUGGAUGGAUUUGGCUUUGAUUUGUGUCUUGAUUCAUCCAUGGAAGAAUUUUGGCAUUUUAUGUGUCUUAAUUUCAACCACCUUUCUCAUAUUGGCCGAAAUUUAUAGGCCUUGUUGCCUAUUUGUGAGCAAUCUUCAAUUCUUGCUUAUUUUGUGAAAAUGAUUUGGCUUUCUUUCCAAUUUUGAGAGAUUUUGGGCCCCUUGACAAUUUUAAGGGAUACUUUCUCCCUUAUGCCAAAUUUUGGAAAGGUUAUGUACUUCCUUUGCUUGAUUUGUGCCACAUGUCAUUGAUGACUUGUCCAUUUGUGAUGAAUCAUAUGCCACGUGGAACUUUGUGAUGCAUCAAUUGCGUGCAACAAAAUUUACAUGUCUACAGUCCUUCCUGGUUGUUACAAUGCAUAAAACUUUGAUCUUGGCAGCUGAGUCUAUGCACGUUGAUCAAGAUGUUGUCGAGUGUGUUAAGGAGGUUGAGGUGGCAUUGACUGCUCAGCUUUGCUUGGCUGCUAAAAAGAUUGAGAAACUCAAAUCUGAACUCGCCAUUUUGAAAGGAUCUAAUGUCUUUGCCUCAACUUUUGUGCAAUUAGAGACCGUUCAUUAGAAGGAAGUUGAUUUGAGGCUAAGCUUAAUUCGACUCGGGCAAUGUUGGAAGCUACAUAAAAGGAAGUCAAUGACCUUAAGCAGGUCAAUUCUAAGCUAUUGUCUACUUGUUUUUCCAAGGACGAGGAGAUUGUCUUCAUGCAUGCUGAAGCAUCUCGUCUCAAGGAUAUUGAAAGUAAGUUUGAGUCCAAGGCAGUGAAUCUACAAGGUACAUUGUCUGCUAGCGAGAACCUGAAUAAUGAACUAGAUAAGCUACAGGAUGCUCACACUAGGCUUUUUUAGGAGAAUGUGUAGCUGAAGAAUGAGAAGGACAAUCACGAAGCGGUGCUUGCUUCUUGUUAGGCCGAUUUCUACAAGCUUGGCUAUGUAGACCAUCUCCAGGGUAGGGCAUCGAAUUAUGAGUUUUUCGAGAAUGAAUUCGAGACUUUCUCCAUUUCUCCAAUUGAUUUGCUUGACUUCUCGUUUGCAUAUGCCUUUGGUGAAGUAGUAAAAGGCCAGUCUAUCCAGGUCAGAGAGGCUGAGGAUGAACUAAUGGAAGCUUUGGUUGCUGAGAGCAGUGCGGUUAAUGAAGGUGUGGCAGUCAAGGAACCAGUGACUGUGCAGUCUGCCGAUGAGUAGUCUUUUUGUUUAGACUGAAGAAUUUUCUUCUUUUCUUUUUUGUUUUGCUUUAUUUGAACUUUGUCGACCUUCAAGCCAGUUUAUCAAUUUGCUAGAAAUUUAACAAACAACUUUCCUUGCUUUAAUUCAUCCUUGCUAUUUCGCCAUGUCUCUUGCAGAACUUCACCAUAGGAUGGUCAGCUAGGUGAACUGCUUCGAGGAAGCAGUUGUUCCCACGUCGUUUUAGUUUCAGCUUCGAGGCUUUGGGAGCCUUGCUUGCUUAAGGCAACUUGCAAAACUUUUUCAUAGGAAGGGCGGCUAGGUUGACUACUUCGAUGAAGCAGUUGAUCCCACGUCGUCAUUUUAGGCUUUAGUAUUGGCCUUGAUGCUCAGGGAGCUUUACCUACAAGAGAAAAUAUGCAAGUUCCUAACUUAUAGAACCGGCGGCCGGACUUGUGGCUUUUGUAGAAAGCAGACGAGUUCGCGUAACUGCUGUAGUUGUGAACUUUGGCUUUUAUGACUACGCGAGCCUUGGCCAUGUUGCAAACUUUCUAACUUAUAGAGUCGGCGACUGGACAUGUGCUUCUUGUAGAAAGAAAAAGAGUUCGCGUUGCUGCUAUAGUCGUAAAUCUCAGCAUUAACGGCUUAACGAGCCUUGGCCAUCCCUUGGGAUGUUGGAAAAUUUCUAACUUAUAAAGCUAGUAGCUGGACACGUGCUUCUCGUAGAAAGCAGAGGAAUCCACAUAGCCACUAUAGUUAUACAUUUCAGAUAUUUGACAUGCCAAUGUAGGUCUUGACUUACAGAUUACCUAGUAGGUGUAAGCAUGACCACUUCAGGCAUUGUCCUUUGCUCUCGGAAGCAUUUUAGGCUUAAGUUGUAUGCAAAAUCAUGACUCGAUGGCCAUAUCCUUUAGGGCUGCUAGUCCCUUAAUCUUCUAAGCUGCACGCAGCUCAAUAUGGUGAAGGAAAUUUUGUGAAAAACAUGUUCAUUUAAGCAACAUCUAUAGCAUGCAAUUAACAAUUAAAAGGUGGAAUCAUGCUUGUAUGCACUUAAAAACAAAACAUUAACCAUGAAAUUCAAAGCCUAGUAGUUGGGUGAACCAAGACUCAACUCAAAACAACAUUUGUUAGUUGAGAAAUUAUACCUUUGUAGAUUCCUCUUUGCAUAAGCAAAGGCUAAUCACCCAAAGAGAGGGCCUUCAUUCCUUGCAUCUCAGAUCUAUGGAUUUGGAUGGAUGAAAUGGUUUUCCAAGUUCCCAAAAUUGAGAACCUCUAAGUCUCUUCACCAAGGUUAGAUUGGAGAAGAAAUGAGUGACCUUGGAGUAGUAGGAUUGCUAGCUAAACCCUCCAAGGAGGCCGGCCACUUUAGAGAGAAAGGAGAGCUUAUGUUCUCAUCCUUUCCCCAAAAAGAAAACCCUAAAUGAAUUUUGGCUAUAAAGUCAUAUUUAUACCUUAAUUCAUUGGAGUGGCAAACUUGUAAAUAAGUCCAAAACUCACUCCAUCUCUAAAUGGCCGGCCUUAGGGUAUUAUUGGGCUAAUUGGGACUUUGUGAAUCAUUAUUCAUUAAGUUGUCAUACAACUUAAGUCAAUGGGCUUGACGUUCGAAGCCCAUUGGGCCUUAAGGUCCAAAACUAUCCCAAGGUCUUUAACGAACUUAUUCGUUUGAUUAAUUAACAUAUUAAUUAAUCCUGGCCAUAAAUAAUUAAACCAUUUAAUUAUUCUUACUCAUCUCCAUUGUUUCUUCAAUAUCCACUUUGCACGGUGUAAGAUCCAUUACGUUCCUUUUAGCGAGGCAGUGGGCGAUUAAAACCAUUUCAAAUCGAUUGUGAAUUGAAACUUACUUUCAAUUCUCCCUUUAGUGAUUAUACACGUUUAGGGCUUCCACAAACCAUGAGUGACACCUAGCAGCAUAUCAUGGUUACCGAAGCUAAUCAGAAGAGGUGGAGAACCUAUUCAGUUUAGGAUAAUACGGUCUUUCUCUAAUACAAUACUCUUGACCACAUUGUUUGGUUUGAUAGUUUAUUCAUGUCUACUAUCCAAUGUGAUUCGUGUGCUUAUAUGAUUACCUUGAAUGUGAUUUGGAACGACGUCCUAAAUCUCAUUCAUACUCUGGCCAGAGAUUCUUAAUCAUAUCAUAGAGUAUUCUCCUCCAAACGGUUCGAAGGUUAGAGAUCCCUUGUUGUGCAUUCACUUGCCUCCAUGGUUAAGUGGCUUAACCCCGACGAUGCCGUGGACACCCGCGGAUGGGGUGACUUUGACAUAAUCAAAGAUCAAGUACCUAACCACAAGACAACUAUGAUGCCUCAAGUCACAGGACUACUUUGCAUUAUCCCAACCAUGAGUUCUCAUGUGACAUGAAUAUGAGAACUCUUCGUUGAUCGUGUUCAGUGAACUCAUUCUCUAUUGAGCACCUACGUACUUGUCUUGAUGUCACACACACCAAUGACUCGAGACUAGUCACUCUCCUUGAGAGAAGACACAGCACGUACUGAUCUUAACGGACUGUCAAUGCCCAAUUGGCAAUCCUAUGAUCAGGAACGUUUAGGAUGUGUCUACAAAAGAAUGGUCUCAUGAAUCUAACUUCUUUAGAUCGCAUUCUCCCAAUCACAUAUUCCUUGGACUUAUCGUUUAAGCGUAUAACAUUUAUAUGAGACGGCUUAAACAAUAAUCUUUGCCCUUGAUAUUAAACUAGAUUAGUUUAGAAUGUGAAAUGUCCGUAAAGUAUCAUCAUAUGAUUGGUUUUAGGGCACAUUUCCAACAUAUGGAUCUCUAGGGUAGCAAUUGUAACUGAUUUCGCAUGUCACUUGGCUUGUAUUGCAACACUUUAGAGCCGAGUUACAUUCAUGAAGACUGCAUUUCAUGGUUGGACCAUCUACUUAGACAAAUCUUUCAUGGGCAAGGAUUCUACACUUAGCGUCUCUUCUGGUUAAAGACUCGGGUUCCCGCGAAAUUAAAUCUUUCAGUCGGCUAAGUCUUUUUAGGAAAAAGUCCAUUGUGGCCAAUUCUAGGAGCGUCCUAGCGCAGGUAGUUGAAGCAUUCAAAGGAACUGAGCAGUCAAACAACCCAUCCACGUUUGGAGAUCCCAAAUCAGUUUACCCUCUCUUGAUAGGAGAGCACACUCCAUGUUUGCUAGGGCAGGGGAGUCUUCUGCUUUGGCAGGGGUGGUCAGUUGGGAUGUUUAUAUAUUCAGCCCAGACUUGUAAAUAAUUCCUUCAAUCUUUAUUUAAAAUAGAGAACUGUAUUAACUUUGUUUGUAGGCAGAAAUAGCAUAACAACUGAUAAUCUUAGGCAUGUGAGGUCUUGUUUGUUGAGUUGCUUGAGUCUUUGAACUUUAUUUGUCUUGAAUAGGGUCAAAUGAAUGGUGGGAGGUCACACGUUGUACUUUCUUAGGUUGUAGGCAUUUCACUACUUUCUGAUCCUUUUUGUUGCUCAUAGUUGGUUAUGAAGGCUUUUCUGAUAACCAAGUCUCCUGGCUGAAAUUGCCAGAUCUUCGCCCUUUUAUUGUGGCUGUAGAGGAGCUGCUGUUAAUAAGCCGCAAUGCAGGUGAUAACCUUUUUGCGCUCUUCCUCUACCAAAUCUAACUUUGAAGCCAUCUUAUUCUUAUUCUACAUGGAAUUCGAAAGUACAAUGCUGAUGCUGGGCACCAUGAUGUUUGGAGGAAUGAUCGCCUUAAAGCCAAAUGGUAGGGAGAACAAAGUUUCACUGGUUGCUCAUCUUAUCCAGCCACUUGCUCUUUUUGUUUGAGAAUGACUUAUUGAGGUAGUCAAGAAUGGUCUUGUUGAAUGCCUCGACCUGCCCAUUGCCCUACGAAUAUCGAGGCAUGGUCUGUGAUGAUAGAGUAAGGGAUGCCGAAGAAAAUGAGUACUUCAAAGUAAGGGAUGCCGAAGUAGCAGAUGAUGUUUUUCCAUAUGAAGUGCUCUAUGUCCAUCUGGGUAGUUGUAGUCAUGGGUUCGACUUCAACCUAUUUUGUGAAGUACUUGGUCGCUACGAUCAUCAUGCAUCUGCCCCAAGUGGUAGGUAGCAUUGGUCCCACCAGGUCAAUAGCCCACUGUAUGAAUGGUUAAGGGCUCGUCUGCGGCUGGAGUUUGUUAGUAGGUAAUGCAGGCACGGGCUUGAAGCGUUGGCAGCUGUCGCACCUUUGUACAUACUCAUUGGCAUCUUGAUGCAUGGUUGGCCAAUAGUAGCCUACAUUAAAAGCUUUUUGCACUAGAAAAGGCCUCCAAAGUGGUUUCCACAAACAUCUUCGUGGAUUGAGCUAAGUAUCUUCAAGUUGUCGGGAGGCAAUAGGCAGUGGAGAUGUGGUCCUGAGAAGGAUCUGCGAACAAGCAUGCCAUUCCACAUAUAAUAGCAUGCUACCUUCAUCUAGAGCUUCUUAAACUCUAGUUUGUCUGUGGAAAGCGUUCCAUUGUCUAUUAUAGUUGAUGAUGGGAUCUUACCAACUCAGAGUUGUGUUGAUAUGCGCCACCUCAACUACUAAUUCCGCAUCUAUGCUCGACUUCUCCAAGUACUCGACCAGGAUUGAGCGUUUAACCUGAUGGUCUAAGUUAAAGCCUAGGCUUGCUAGUGCAUCUGCAUGGGCAUUUUCAGUUAGUGGAACCUAAGUAAGUGUGUACACCUAGAACAUCUCUAGCUACUCUCGUUCCUUCUCAAGGUAUCGAGCCAUCCUUAGAUACUUUGUUGCUUACUCCCCUAAGGUUUGGUUGAUGAUCAACUAGGAAUCCGAAUAAAUAGUGAGCUUUUCAACCUCUAGGUCUUUCGCCAAUCGAAGACAUGUUAGUAGAGCUUCAUACUCUCCUUUGUUGUUUGACACUUUGAUUGCAUGUUUGAGCAUUGAAUCGUUUGGGAUAGUGAGGACUAGACCUAUUCCCAAGCCUUGGUAGUUAAAUGAUCCGUUGACUUGUAGACACUAGAAAUCUCCUACAAGUAGGGUUGGUGCGGAUAUAGUGUGCUCGGCUGCCUCUAGGUGUUUCUGAGCUAAGUUUCUACGUCUUUUCGGCUUGGGGUGAAUUCUACUACAAAAUCCGCGAAUGCCUGGGUUUUUAUCACCGUAUGAGGUUGGUAUGCUAAGCCAUAUUGGCCAAGUUCCAACGCCCAUUUCUUCACUCAUUGAGAAACGUCUAGACUAUGCAAAACUAAUUGUUGGAAAUGUGCCCUAAAACCAAUCAUAUGAUGAUACUUUACGGACAUUUCACAUGUUAAACUAAUCUAGUUUAAUAUCAAGGGCAAAGAUUAUUGUUUUAAGCCGUCUCAUAUAAAUGUUAUAUGCUUAAACGAUAAGUCCAAGGAAUAUGUGAUUGGGAGAAUGCAAUCUAAAGAAGUUAGAUUCAUGAGACCAUUCUUUCGUAUACAUCCUAAACGUUCCUGAUCAUAGGAUUGCCAAUUGGGCAUUGACAGUCCGUUAAGAUCAGUACGUGCUAUGUCUUCUCUCAGGGAGAGUGACUAGUCUCGAGUCAUUAGUGUGUGUGACAUCAAGACAAGUACGUAAAUGCUCAAUAGAGAAUGAGUUCACUGAACACGAUCAACGAAGAGUUCUCAUAUUCAUGUCACAUGAGAACUCAUGGUUGGGAUAAUGCAAAGUAGUUCUUUCACCUGAGGCAUCACAGUUGUCUUGUGGUUAAGUCCUUGAUCUUUGAUUAUGUCAAAGUCACUCCAUUUGGAGGGUGUCCACGACAUCGUUGGGGUUAAGCCACUUAGCCAUGGAGACAAGUGAAUGCGCAACAAGGGAUCUCUAACCUUCAAACCGUUUGAGGGAGAAUACUCUAUGAUAUGAUUAAGAACCUCUGGCUAGAGUAUGAAUGAGAUUUAGGAAGUCGUUCCAAAUCACAUUCAAGGUAAUCAUAUAAGCACACGAAUCACAUUGGAUAGUAGACAUGAAUAAAUAAACUAUCAAACCAAACAAUGUGGUCAAGAGUAUUGCAUUAGAGAAAGACCGUAUUGCAUUUGUAAUCCUAAACUGAAUAGGUUCUCCACCUCUUCUAAUUAGCUUGGGUAACCAUGAUAUGCUGCUAGGUGUCACUCAUGGUUUGUGGAAGCCCUAAAUGUGUAUAAUCACUAAAGGGAGAAUUGAAAGUAAGUUUCAAUUCACAAUCGAUGUGAAAUGGUUUUAAUCGGCCACUGCCUCGCUAAGGAACCUAAUGGAUCGUACACCGUGUAAGGUGGAGAUUGAAGAAACAAUGGAGAUGAGUAAGAAUAAUUAAAUGGUUUAAUUAUUUGUGGCAAGGAUUAAUUAAUAUGUUAAUUAAUCAAACGAAUAAGUUCGUUAAAGACCUCGGGAUAGUUUUGGACCUUAAGGCCCAAUGGGCUUCGAACGUCAAGCCCAUUAACUAAGUUGUAUGACAACUUAAUGAAUAAUGAUUCACAAAGGCCCAAUUAGUCCAAAAAUAUCCCAAUGGCCGGCCAUAUUAGAGAUGGAGUGGGUUUUGGACUUAUUUACAAGUUUGCCACUCCAAUGAAUUAAGGUAUAAAUAUGACUUUAUAGCCAAAAUUCAUUAAGGGUUUCUUUUGGAGAAAAUUGGAGAGAACAUGUCUCUCCAUUUCUCUCUAAAGAUCUAGCAACUACUCCUCCAAGGUCACUCAUUUCUUCUCCAAUCUAACCUUGGUGAAGAUACUUAGAGGUUCUCAAUUUUGGGAACUUGGAGAAACUUUUUCAUCCAUCCAAAUCGAUAGAUUUUAGAUGCAAGGAAUGAAGGCCCUCUCUUUGGGUGAUUAGCCUUUGCUUAUGCAAAGAGGAAUCUACAAAGGUAUAAUUUCAACUCACUUUGUUUUGUGUUGAGUUUUGGUUCACCAAUCUACUAGGCUUUGAAUUUCAUGGGCAAUGUUCUGUUUUUGAAUGCAUGCAAGCAUGAUUCCACCUUUAAUUGUUAAUUGCAUGCUAUAGAUGUUAUUCAAAUGAACAUGUUUUAACAAAACAAUCCUUCAAGUGGUAUCAGAGCCUAGGUCUAGUAGUUGGUGAAUCCUUUUGGGUUUUGUAGCUCAUAGUUUGUGAUUUAAAAGUUGUAAUAUGUUACAAGCUUUAUUCUUGUUUCUUUGAAUGUAAAUUUUGUUAGAAAAUUUGUCAUCUCAAAUGUUGUAGAUGUAGUUCAUAUGAGCAUGAAUAUUGGAGCUAAAAUUUGGUGCCAUGAUUUUGGGAAAAUUCGGCCAAAUCCAUAGGGUGAUUUUUUGGGUUCUUGUUUGACUUGUUAAAAGUGUUUUAAAGUGACUUUUGGAACCCCUAUGUACCCUAGUUUGGUUAUAUGUUAUUUCCCUAAAGUUUGAAUGGUUUUGGGAUGUUUUUGGAUGAAAAAUGUUCAUGGAAAUUUUUUGGGUUUUUCAUGAAUGUUCUUCAUUGUUCUUGACAUUUUUGCCAAGAACAAAAAGUUUGGUGUUUUGAUUCAAAGUUUUGAUUUAUCUCAUAAAGUUUAUGUUUUAUGAAUUUUCAAAUGUUUAAAUGUUUUAGAUAUUUGUUUAAAUGGUGUAAGAAAUAUUGGUGGGUGUGUAAGGAUUAAUUUCCUUUCACACACACCACUUGCACCACUUGAUUGCUUUAUGUCUAAACUACAAAUCAACACACACAUCACUCCCUUUCCUUCUCCAAAACCGGCCCUCCCUCAAGUGGGAGUACUUUUGGGGCUUUUAUGCAAUUACAUAAAGUUUUGAUACUUUUGUGUAUUUGCACUUUGGCCCAAAAGUUUACGUUUUUACGUUUAGGUCCAAAAACGCUAAAGGACAAAUUGUUUUGCUCCUUUAAUGAAGUUUUUGCAUUGUUUAAAUUUUGGGUUCUAGUGUAAUUACAUGAAGUAGUGGACUUUUGUGUUCUUACAAAGUGACCCCAAAAGUUUAUGUUUUCGCAAUAUAGCCAAAAAGGUUGUGGUUAUUGCAUGAUGGCCCAAAUUAGGUAGAGAACAAAAUUGUUUUGUCUCUUUAAAUGAGAAUUGGAUUUUCAUUUCAUUUAGCUCCAUUUAAAUCAAUUUUAUGGAUACAAAAACCAAAUGAAAAUGUUGCAUUCAAUUUAAUUAGUUAAAGUGUUAAUUAAUUAAAGGAUGAUUAUGAACCUAAGCCUACGAUAAUUGAGCUAUGUGAUAGGCCGUUUCAAAUUUGUUUGAACCAUGGGAAUAUGUAGAUUAGAUUUUGGUUGUAAUUUGAUUUUAUCAAAUGUUGUAAAAGGGCAUAAGCUCUUCUUUACUUCAAGGUAAUUUGUUUUAUGCAAAUGUUGUAAUGAGCAUAAGCUCACCUUUACUUUGAAGUACUUCUUUCUUGCUUUAUUUGAUAUGCAUGAAAAUGAAGUAGUUGGGUCCAAAGCCAUUUUAUAAGCAUAAUGGGAGUAUUAUAUACAACUAAAAACAAUCAAAUGGACCAAUAGUUGGAGUAUUAUAUACAAGUCAACCAAACCAUUAUUAAGUUGAUAAGCGAGAGAUGUUUGGAAUAUCUCUUCGUGGCCUUCCACCGUGGUAGCUCCAAUCGUUUAUGACUUGUACACCGUCUUCACCCUAUCAUGGGGAAGUGCAAAGUGCAUGCUUAUACUCAGGAGGAGUCUAUAUACAUACUUGAUGAGGUGAGUGUAGGCAACGAGGAUGGCCAACAUCAUAUCAUUGUGAGGCUAUUCUUGAACCCCUUCAUGAACUAAGCAUGGUGGGAAUGACUUAACUAAGUGCAAUGGAGCCAACAUCAUAUCAUUGUGAGGUGACAUUCUCUAGAGGCCAAAUAAGAUGGGUACUUGCAUUAGAUGCAAAUGAGUAAGUGUACUCUCUCAUUGUUAUUAAUGCUAGCCAACAUCAUAUCAUUGUGAGGUGGGCUUGGUAGUAGUGAGUUUCCCAUACCCUACUAAGAGUUUCCUCCAAAAACUCUCGAAUUCCAACGAGGGAUAUGGAAUUUGCCAAAAAUAGUGGGUGGUGCUAUUUGAUUUAAAGACCCGGAUCAAAUGGUUUAAAAUCAAUCAAUUUAUAUUCGUUAUGUAUUUGUUUACCAAUAUAUUUGCAAACGCUAUCCAACACUUGACAAAUAAAAGCCGAAAGCUUUAGUUUCCGGACUUGGUACUACAAAACCAUAGAUUGUCUUUAAUGGCUUGUAAAUGUACCUAAGUAGUCUCAUCCUCACAAUCUUCCUAUUGAUAAUGUAUCAUUAGAAGAAUAUGUUAGAAAAUGUCUAUCAUAAUGAGGACAACACUUUUAAUGUCAUAAUUCUUCAAUUACAAAUUGUUGUAUGAAGAAAUAAGAGUUGCUUUGAACAACCCUUAAUCAAUGCAAACAUUAGUGCUUGUUUCUUUGUUACAUGAACAAGGAACUUUAGAAGUAAGCACAAGGGCAUGGACACUUUAUGUGCCAUGAUUCUUCACUUACAAAUUGUUGUAUGAAGAAAUGAGAGUUGCCUUGAACAACUCUUGGAAGUUUGUAAUUAUAUUUAGAACAUAAUGGUUGGUUGACAAAAAUAGUCCAUCAACAUGGACUUAUAAUGAUUUUAAAUCAUUGAGUGUUGAAGUGUUAAAACCACUUAAAGAGACGGAAACUAGGCAAGGACUUCACCUUUGUUUCCCUAUCCUAAUGGUUCACUAAGUUUAUUGUAAACUAUGUAGUAAACAAUAACCACAUACUCUCCAAAUUGUUUGAUGUGUAUAACACAAUUGGAAAAGGUUUCAAGAGAGAUAGUGGGAGUUUAGGGACCAUGACUAUUGUAGUCAAAGGAGAAGUCAAAUAAAGAAGAUAAAAUAACUCCAAGGGAACAAACUUUCUUUAUGAAAGGAUGGACAUUGGAAGGGGUAUUUGCAAGAAAUGUCUUGCAAGUGUCAAGAAACACACCUUUCGAAGGUGUUGUAAAUUGUUCAUGAAAAGUUCAAAACAGUUGGUUCUUCUACUUGAAUGCUUGAUUCCGUAUUAGUAACUAUGUUUUACAAUCGUUGUAAAAGUGUGACUAAUAAGAAGUAGAAGAUAUAUGAGAGAAGAAAAGGUGCUUCACAUUCGGAACGUGAAUAAAAUAUAGAUCUCUGCGAAAGCAGAUAGUACUUACUUCCUCAUAUGAACUACCAAAGAAAUUGGAAAAACCAAAGAUUGUCUUUACAUUCCAAUUUUAAGGAACUUAAUUCCGUCACUAUAGUAGAGAUGGAUGAAUGUUUUGUUUGACAAAACAUUGUUCUUUAUUAAUCAAUGAUUGGAUUAUAGUAAUCUAAUUGAUUGCCUCUAUAGUAGAGAUGAUAUGGUAGUGUUAACUGUUUAGAAUAUAAUGAUGCUUAAAACCCAAAAGGUUGCAAGGUAGUGACUAAUCCCAACUAAGUUGGUGAAAGAUGGAUGCUUUGGAUUGUUAGAUCCGGAUCCAAUACCUUCUUAUUAAAAUUGUAUAGAGGCGAAAUGUUCGAAUCUUUAUUCUUUUGGAAAGAAGAAAGAAUCACAAAGUUGUUGAGGUUAAUUCACUUAGAUGUUAGUGGCACUUGUCCACAACAUAAUACUACUCAUGUUGUAUGACAUUCACCGAAGAUCACUCUCGGUUGGACUAUAGUUUAUUAGAAUAAACACAAGUCCGAAUACUUUGUAAAAGGUUUCAAAGAAUUCAAGAAAUGUAAGUUGAUGAGUAAGACGUCUAAAGUCUUUACCUCCUUAGAUUUGAUCCAAGGAAAAUUAACACUUUAGAUGAGUUUCCUUGAAAGAUAUCAAGAAAAAGAAGCAUCAUAAGAUAAUGUAUUUCUCCAUUAGGAGAAGAACGAACUUGAAUAAGAUUUAGUUCGUUAGAUGUUAUCUAUUACCCUAUAUAGGAUAUAUACUUCUAAAACCAUAUGAUUGUAAAUUAGAAGAUCUUUCCAAAAUUUUCAUGACUCCAUAAGAUGUAGUUGGAAAGAAAGACAAAUCUUAAGCAUGUUAAGAUUUGGGGUUGUGUGCUAAUAAGCAAUAUUUGUUUGAUAACAAUCUUGUGGGAUAUCCUUAAAUUAACUUUUGGAUAUUGCUUCUAUAAACCAACUAACAAAUGUUGUUUUGUUGGGUAGUUCAUUGUAAUCCUACAAUAUGAUUUGCCUAUGAGCAAAUGAAUGAGAGAUAGAACUCAAAGAAUGGGUUCUUUGAGAGACAAGAUAAUAAUCAACAAAUAUAACAACCUAGUUCCUGUACCACAAGCUCCAAGAUAGUCUAGAAGGAUUUAUAAACGGUCUCAGUUGAAUGGUUUGAACUUUAUGACUAUGUCAUAGAGUUGCACCUCUUAAUUCGAAAGAAAUAAGAAUGAAAAUCCUUAUGACUACAUUGAAUGUAUAUAUGAUAUAUACUCAAGGAAAUGGUAAAGUACCAUUUGACCCGAAAUAAUGAAACCUUCAUAAGCUAAUUGGUAGCUUAAGGUGACUACAAUCAAAGAGAAUGGUUGACUUUGAAGAAACCAUCUUUGAGAUAGUCUUGGUUUCAAUUAAUUCAACGAUUGCUAGCUACAACUAAAUGGUGAUCCAAUAUUUGGACAUAAUAUGGGUUUCCGAAACCAUUAUUAAGAUAGUCUUGAUAAUAUAUGUCUAAAACUAUAAAUCACAAGACAUGUAAGUUGUAGAGAUCCAUCCAUCAUGAAUCUUAGCAAGCUAGUGGGAGCUAUAAGCAUCUUAUAAGAAAAGGAUCAAAUCGUUUGAUUUCUCAUAAAUAUGUAAAUGAAUCUUUUGUUUACUAGGUUUACAAAAGAUUAGUGGGAGUUAAUCAUGUUCCUAAAAUUUAAAUAUAUAUGAUAUAUUAAUUUGGGAAAUGAAAAGAUCACUUCUUCGUUAAAGUUAUGAAUUUAAAACAUUAUAUAAAGAUAGAAUGUAUAUGGGAGACAUAGUCUAUAUACAUGGGAUGGAAAUCUAUAAUGAUAGAUUUUAGGAUAUAAUUUGAUUAUAUCAAUCCCUAAUAAUAGACAAAAGAUGCUAGGAAGUUUCUCAUAUGAUGAUAAACUUCAAUCAAAAGGACAACUCUAGUAAGACUAAGAAGUUGCUCUUCUCAAAGAGAACGUACUCUUUGACUCCCAUAGAAAUAAUGCGUAAAUAGAAUCCUUUAUGCAUAAGCAGAAAAGAUGAUUUAUGUAUUUCAUAUUGUAUGAAAAACAUUGAUAUGAGUUGCACCUAGAACGGUACAAGACGAUAUCAAUGCAAGCCCAGGAUCAGAACCAUGGCAACUGUCAAGUGAAUCCUUAAGUAUUUAAGAAAUACUAAAAGGAUAGAUUCCUCAAAGAAUGAGGAAGAAUUAGAGUAACGUAAUGGAAGCGUAAAUGUAUUAGAUUGUGAAGUAUUAAAUUGUGAAUCUAAUCCAUCAUUGGAUGUUCCUUCAUUAUGAAUGAAGAGAUAAACAGAUAUCUCUUUAUUAUGACUAAAGAGAUAUUUGGAUGGAAACAUUAAAGUAAUGACUUUAGUGUUCCAUUAUGAAUGCAAAAUAUAUUGCCAUAUAGAAGUUUACAACAAUGUUGUUUGGAUGGGAAAGUUCAUUUAUGAACUCUCUAUUCUGUUCCAACCAGAAAGUGUAUGACACUAAUGGGGCGAUAGCUCAAGCCAGGGAAUCAAGGUCUCAUCAAGGUCUGAACUCAUAUGAGAGACUGAACCACAUGAUUAAGAAUCAUGUAUAAUGGUGACGUCGUUAUUCUCAAGGUUGCUUCUAUGGAUAACAUAUAGAUAUCCAUUGUCUAGGCCUACUACUCAGCCAUUUAUGAAAUGACUACAGAAGAGGUAUCAUCACUGAUGACCAAGCUGAUUGGCUCUAGUGCAAGUGGGAGAUUGUUGGAAAUGUGCCCUAAAACCAAUCAUAUGAUGAUACUUUACGGACAUUUCACAUGUUAAACUAAUCUAGUUUAAUAUCAAGGGCAAAGAUUAUUGUUUUAAGCCGUCUCAUAUAAAUGUUAUAUGCUUAAACGAUAAGUCCAAGGAAUAUGUGAUUGGGAGAAUGCAAUCUAAAGAAGUUAGAUUCAUGAGACCAUUCUUUUGUAUACGCAUCCUAAACGUUCCUGAUCAUAGGAUUGCCAAUUGGGCAUAGACAGUCUGUUAAGAUCAGUACGUGCUAUGUCUUCUCUCAGGGAGAGUGACUAGUCUCGAGUAUAAGUACGUAGGUGCUCAAUAGAGAAUAAGUUCACUGAACCCGAUCAACGAAGAGUUCUCAUAUUCAUGUCACAUGAGAACUCAUGGUUGGGAUAAUGCAAAGUAGUUCUUUGACCUGAGGCAUCACAGUUGUCUUGUGGUUAAGUCCUUGAUCUUUGAUUAUGUCAAAGUCACUCCAUUUGGAGGGUGUCCACGACAUCGUUGGGGUUAAGCCACUUAGCCAUGGAGACAAGUGAAUGCGCAACAAGGGAUCUCUAACCUUCAAACCGUUUGAGGGAGAAUACUCUAUGAUAUGAUUAAGAACCUCUGGCCAGAGUAUGAAUGAGAUUUAGGAAGUCGUUCCAAAUCACAUUCAAGGUAAUCAUAUAAGCACACGAAUCACAUUGGAUAGUAGACAUGAAUAAAUAAACUAUCAAACCAAACAAUGUGGUCAAGAGUAUUGCAUUAGAGAAAGACCGUAUUGCAUUUGUAAUCCUAAGCUGAAUAGGUUCUCCACCUCUUCUGAUUAGCUUGGGUAACCAUGAUAUGCUGCUAGGUGUCACUCAUGGUUUGUGGACGCCCUAAACGUGUAUAAUCACUAAAGGGAGAAUUGAAAGUAAGUUUCAAUUCACAAUCGAUGUGAAAUGGUUUUAAUCGGCCACUGCCUCGCUAAAAGGAACCUAAUGGAUCAUACACCGUGUAAGGUGGAGAUUGAAGAAACAAUGGAGAUGAGUAAGAAUAAUUAAAUUGUUUAAUUAUUUAUGGCAAGGAUUAAUUAAUAUGUUAAUUAAUCAAACGAAUAAGUUCGUUAAAGACCUCAGGAUAGUUUUGGACCUUAAGGCCCAAUGGGCUUCGAACGUCAAGCCCAUUAACAUAAGUUGUAUGACAACUUAAUGAAUAAUGAUUCACAAAGGCCCAAUUAGUCCAAAAAUAUCCCAAUGGCCGGCCAUAUUAGAGAUGGAGUGGGUUUUGGACUUAUUUACAAGUUUGCCACUCCAAUGAAUUAAGGUAUAAAUACGACUUUAUAGCCAAAAUUCAUUAAGGGUUUCUUUUGGAGAAAAUUGGAGAGAACAUGUCUCUCCAUUUCUCUCUAAAGAUCUAGCAAUACUACUCCUCCAAGGUCACUCAUUUCUUCUCCAAUCUAACCUUGGUGAAGAUACUUAGAGGUUCUUAAUUUUGGGAACUUGGAGAAACUUUUUCAUCUAUCCAAAUCGAUAGAUUUUAGAUGCAAGGAAUGAAGGCCCUCUCUUUGGGUGAUUAGCCUUUGCUUAUGCAAAGAGGAAUCUACAAAGGUAUAAUUUCAACUCACUUUGUUUUGAGUUGAGUUUUGGUUCACCAAUCUACUAGGCUCUGAAUUUCAUGGGUAAUGUUUUGUUUUUGAAUGCAUGCAAGCAUGAUUCCGCCUUUAAUUGUUAAUUGUAUGUUAUAGAUGUUAUUCAAAUGAACAUGUUUUAACAAAAUAAUCCUUCACUAAUCACAAUGGGUAAUGUGUCAUGACAAUAACUGGAUGUCCCUGAAAGUAUUGUCUGAGCUUCCGAGCUACAACAACUAGGGCCAAAAUUAUCUUUUCAAUCUUCAGGUAUCUGGUUUCCACAUCGAUGAGAGCUUUGGAUGUGUAAAAUACAUGCAGCUGGGCCCUUAGAUCUUUUCGUAUAAGGGCAGAGCUCACUGCUAUUCUGAUAUCACCAGAUAGAUGUAUAGGUUCUCCGCUGCUUCUGGCUUGGAUAGUAAGGGAGGUGAUGUUAGGUACUGCUUCAGGUCCUGAAAUGCUUUCUUGCAGUCGUCGUCCCAUUUACCUAUUUUCACCCUCUUAAUUGUCUUGAAGAAGGGCUUGCAUCGAUUGAUGGAUUGCGAGAGGAAAUAGCUGAUGUGCAAGGAAACCCAAGAAGUUGCAUGUCGAUACACCAAAGGCGCAUUUGGCAGGGUUCAUUUUAAGGUUAUGUUGGUGCAUACAAAGGAAAGCUCGCUGAAGAUCAUCUAAAUGUCUUUGACAGUGCUUCGAUUUGACCAUAACAUCAUCAAUAUAUACCUCAACGACAGUGCCAAUCAAGUCAUGAAAAUUGGUAUUCAUGGAGCAUUGUUAAUUGGCACCGGCGUUCUUAAGUCUGAAAGGCAUGACGACCCAUUCGUAGGUCCCGCCUAUCCCAAGGCAAUAAAAACUAGUUUUGUGGACAUCGGCCUCAAUAAUGAAAAUCUCGUUGUACCCAGUGUUGAUGCAAAUUUUCGCCAUCUUCAGUCUUGACAAAAAUGCACUUGCAAAACAAUCAACACAUUUGAUUCGAUACCUAAGCCUCACGCGGCCACGAGGUGGGGGGUUAGGUUAAUAGAUCUCCAAAACUAAGUUAGUUUCUCUGAAAGAGUAAAGUGUUUAGGGCUUUUUAGGGUUGCAAAAGCUUUGAAAAUUUGGUAGAAUAUAGGGUAUUUAUAGGGCUAAGGCCAGCCAUAUAGUGUUUAAUGGAGAGAUAUUCUCUAAAUAUUCCCUAGAUAUUAAAUAGGAAAUAAUAUCUUGAGAUAAUGCUGUAAUUAUCCCUAAUUUAUUUAAAUUAGGAUUACUUACUUGAUUGGAGUCAACCUUUAAUUAGGAAUGUAUUAAAGAUAGGAUUUGGGUAAUUAAUCCUUAUCUUUAAUUUCUUGCCAAAGGCAGGUGAGAUGCGGACAGUCAUAUUCAGCUGCUGAGACCUCCAGGGGUGUGAGCUGCGUGUGGAAGCAUAUGAGAAGUCUGCCCAUUUAUUGAGGGCAAUCUUGUCUUUCUUGAAUAAAAGUUCACAUGUCGCCUCUAGAAUAUUUAGGAUUAUUUUUGGCUCCACACCCAGCAUGGCCAUCCAUGAAAGAUAACAUCUCGUAAUUUGCUGCAGCGUCGAUUAACAAGUAUGAAAUUGGCAUUGUGUAUUCAUCUUUAAAGGUUGCCAAGUUUAAAUUACGAAAAUCAAUGCAAAUACAUAGAGCACCACUUUUCUUUAAAACUUGGACAAUAUUCGCCAACCAUUCGACGUAUCAAGUUGUCCGAAUAAAACCGGCUUUUAAAUGUCGAACGAGUUCAUCUUUUAUGCCGAGCUAAACUUCGAUCGAGAAUCAUCGAGGGGGUUGGCGGAAAGGUUUAUAACCAACCUUGAUGCGUAAUUCAUGCUCGACUAGUGUUCGAUUCAUGCUCGACUAGUUCAUUUAAGCAACAUCUAUGCAUGCAAUUAAGAAUUAAAAGGCGGAACCAUGCUUGUAUGCACUCAAAAGCAAAACUUUACCCAUGAAAUUCAAGGCCUAGUAAUUGUGGUGAACCAAGACUCAACUCAAAUCUUAAAGAAAAGAGUUGAGAAAUUUUUAUAUCUUUGAAGCACCUCUUUGCUUAGCACAGGAUAUUCACCCAUGUGAGGGCCUUCUUUCCUUAGUCUCCUUGCUCCUUGACUCCAUGGAUGUGGACGGAGGAACUUUGCUUCUUGGCUCCAUGACUUCUUGGAUGGAUGAAGGAAUGGAUUCUCCAAGCUCACAAAAUAGAGAACCUCUAAGUCUGCAUGCCAAAGAGAGCAUUGAGAAAGAUAUGAGUGACCUAGAGGAAGAAAGAUUGCUAGCUAUUUUCCUCUUGGGUGGCCGGCCUCCUAAGAGAAUAGAGAACUUUGUGUUUUCAUCCUUUCUCUCUAGAAAACCCUAAUAAACUUUUGGCUAUAAAGUCCUCUAUAUAGUCACUUCACUUAAGUGACAAAAAGAACCAAAAACCCAUUCAUUUACAAUAUGGCUGGACUAUAAACACGAAUAUGAUGCGAGAAUUACUUGACACACAAAUUAAACCCUCUUUUUGACAAUUGUAGUAUAGAUGUAAGUAGGGUAUCAUUCUAGGCCGGGGAUUAGGAGGGAUUGCUAAUCUAUUCUAAAUUAAUUUAAAAAUAUUAAACAAGACUCAAUGACACAAAACUAGGCUAAAAACUCUAAUAACUCGAAACACACUUAGAAUGACUUAAAAUAAUGAAAACAAUCAAAUUAGACACUAGGAACUGAAAUGGACGAAAAUUAAAUUAAAAGACUAACAAUAAAGAAAACUAACAAAAAAAUAUAAUUUAAUAAUGGAUGGGUGUUUGGUUUUGAUGAAAAGUAAAUUAAACUUAAUUAAAUUACAGAAUUGACAAAAACAUGAAAUUAAGGUGAAAGGAUAGAUGACGGACUAGCUAGAGGGUUCUUCUCCACACAUGACACAUAUGCAACCUAAAUUGAUUUUUCAGUUGUUCUUUCAAUAAAUUGUAAAUCUCAAUGCCCCAAAUUAACCGUGAAUUGCACUAAUUAACCUUCAGUUUUUCCACAAGUUAUUGGGUUGGAUGAUUGCAUACGACAACCCAAAACAUUCCCUACAAGUUCCCUACAUGAAUUGCAUAAUAGAGAUACAAGCAAGAAUCAUUAAGUUCUAUGAAAAACAUAAGCAUUGACGAGGCACUCGUUACUAUGAUUUGCAUGAAACUUAUGCCAAGAAUUUACUUAACGUGAUUGUGACUAGCAACCUUUACUACUUGUGAAUAUAAGUUCAUAACGAUUAGGUGAAAUUCACUUAUAUUCUAGCAUCAAAUUCAUGCAUGUAAAUUAAGUAUGCAUCCUUAAUCGACAUACAAAAAUAAGUUAUAAAUCAAGCAGUUAAGCAAAUUAAAUCACAACUCAGAAAUCACAACUGAAGGUAAUCAAUUCAUAUUACAAAUAUAUUCAUGGCUUGAAUUAACCUCUAGCCAAAAUAAAUUUAGUUACACAUUAUUAUCAAAUUAAACCAGAAAUUAAACAUAAGUUGGAAAGUUUUAACCGAAAGAGUAGAAGCUUGCUGUUUCUGUUUCUGUCCGUGCUCUCACGCUGGUUCUGCCCUCAGUAGGGCAGCUUUCCUUUCCUACCCACCGCCUCUGCACGUCACCUUGUUUCACGCUGCCAAGAGCAGCAAGAGCUCUCGGUUCUCUCCCUCUGACUUCUGUCCGCACAGUUUUCUGUGCUGCCCGUGCCUUCUCGGUUUUCUGCUGCCGCAAGGCAGCUGUCUCUUCGUCCAGCCUUCUCUCCCCGCGUCAAUCUCUCCCCACGCUGCCCACUUUGACUAACCUCUGGCUGCGCCAGUCUCUUGCUGCCAAAGGCAGCACCUAAUCUCUCCCUUUCGUUACUGACUUGCUGACCAGUCCUUGCUCAAGCUGCCAAAUGGCAGCCCCUAUUCUUUCCUUCUGUGGACUGUCAAUCUCGCUGCCAAAGGCAGCUCUCUGCCUUCCACCAAUCCCCCCCUCUUGCUGCUGACCCGCCAAGGCAGCUAUAAGCUGCUUCUUAUUUCCUUUUCUUUUUUAUUUUCUGUCAGUACCCUCUCUGUUUAUUCCCCCCGUGCUCACCUCCCCCUCCACUUAACUGCUUCUUAUAUUUUAUUCUUCCACUAAUCCAUUUUGUCUGCCUGUUUCUUUGCUUUUAUCAUUUUCUGUUUCUUUUUGUUUUCUAUUUGCUUCACCAACCACACUGCCAAAAUUUGUAAUACAAUUCCUCCAGAGACCAAAAUUACCAAGGCAGCAAGUUUUCCAGUGUGCAAGCAAGCACUAACCUGAAAUCAUGUGGUGCUUAAAAUAAAUAUAUGGAAAGCAUAACUCAGCAAAUUGACAAUAGCAAAAAAAAGAAAGCAGUCAUGAAAAUAACGUAAAUAGAUCUUAUUUGUGCUAUUUUUGUUUUCUUUACAUAACAGAUCUUAUAAACACAAAAAUAACAUAAAUAGCUCAAAAAUAUAAGGAACUAACUAAGAAAAGACGAGUGAAUUUGAAGUAAAAAUAUAUAUAAAUAUGAUCCGAUCAGAAUACUCCUGCAAUGAAUGAGACAAGAACACGUGUACAAAAUAAUAUUUGUAUUAAUGAUUUAGGGGUUACAAUCUCUUCUGCAAAUUUAUCCUCUGAUUCGAUCUUCGUAAUGCUUAGAUUUGUGGAUUGUGUUGUUGAUCCAAGGGCCAUUGGGGCUUGAUCUUGAAGGUUGAUGAACGGAUCUUCAAGGGGCUUUUGGGCUUGAUUUUGAAGAGCGGUUGUGCGGAUUUCUUCAAGGGCCUUUGGGCUUAAUCUUGAAGGUUGAUGGGUGAACGGAUCUUCAAGGGCUUUUAGACUUGAUCUUGAAAAACGGUUGGAUGUGUGGAUUUGUUGAUACUGUUAAUCCAAAGGGCCGUUGGGGCUUGAUCUUAGGAUGAACGGACGAUGAAUGAUGAACACUUUCUUCAAGGGCUGGCGGGGCUUGAUCUUGAAUUGGUGGAAGUUCUUCAAGAGUUGUUGGGGCUUGAUCUUGAAGGAGGAUUUGACGAAGAACGAAGAAAGCUAUCUUGAUCCUUCGGGAUUGGAUUGGGACCUUUAGAAGCUUCGAGGUUUUGGUGUGAUGUGAAUUGGUUAUGAAUUGGUGUCCUAAAAUGAAUGAAAUGGCCUUGUAUUUAUAGAUGUUUUUUGAAGGCCUAAUUUUGAAUAUAAUAUUUAGAUGAAAUAAAUCAUUUCUACCAGGUGUUGACAUGUGUCCUUAUUUAAUGACUUUUACGAUUUAUUUUGAUUUUUCGUUUAGUCACACGCUACAUGUAAAAAUUUAUGUGACACGUGAGCGUUGAAAUUGUAAUUAUUGGUUAACAUUUAUUUCACCAAAAUUUCGAUGUCUACAAAUGCCCCCACUUCAAGGCGCGUCGUAUACAUGUGCUUGUCACGUGUAGGAGAUGCGUUUUGAAGUCCUUUAAUGUAGAUGUUGAUCCAAGGGCCAUCGAGACUUAAUCUUGAAUUGGGCUGGAGAUAUCUUCAAGGGCCGUUGAGGCUUGAUCUUGAAUUGGGCUGGAAGUUUCUUCAAGGGCCAUUGAGGCUUGUUCUUGAACUUUGUUUGAAAUUUCUUCAAGGGCCGUCGAGGCUUGAUCUUGAAUUAAAUUGGACCACAAGGAGCUUCAUGUGGUAGGUGAUCUCUGGCUUUGGUAGUGGAUGAAUCGGCACGUAUUUUGUUGCAAUUGUUGACUUUCCACAGCUUUGAUCUUGAACUGGGUUGGAGGAUUUUCUGGUUUCCUCCAAUUGUUGACUUUCCACAUGCUUAUUCUUAAACUAGGCUAGGGGUUUCUUUUGCUAGACUUCCAUCAAAAUGUCUAGAUUUACUCCUUUUAUCUAGAGCUGAAUUUGGUUCAAGGAUGGUGGAUACUUGAUCUUGAAUCGGACAUGAUUUCUUCAAGUUGGUGACUUGAUCUUUAAGGAUUUGAUUCAAGGGUGGUGAAUUAGCACGUGCAGCUCACAACGCCUAGCGAGUCGACUUCAGAAUUUGAGGGUCGAAACAAGUUCGCCAAAUCUAGAGUAUUUGUAACCCUGAUGAUAUGAGAUAUUUUUGCUUUUGAAGAAGUAGUAGAUGAAUCGGUACGUGUUUUGCUAUGCUUGUCUCCACAUGCUUCAAUGUAUCAUUUUCACUUGCCUUAUCUAUUCUUCAGGCAUAUGAGGUAUCUUCUGCUGCCUUGUCUGUUUCCCUGGCAAAGCGAUGCUAGGUAAGUAAUCAGGGAAGGGUUCCAGGCAGUCGGUUCCUGACUGAGAGUUUGACUUCAAGUUCCAACUGAUUGCUCUCUUUCUUAUUAUCCUGCAGGUAAGAACAAAGACAAAGAAAAGGACAGGGAUAAAGCAUGAUAUGAGAUACUCUUGCUUUCGAAGAAGUGGUGGCGAUUUGAUAGCAUUGCACAACGAGGUUUUGCUCUUCGGCGAUGGUGCCAACGAAAGGCUAUUGAAACUUCUCGAGCUCUUUGAUGAGAGCAACGAUGCCGAGCUUGGAUUUGAUUUAGACUCCUCCAUCUGGGUUAUGCGAUUCUGCAAGGAAGGGCGUCAUGCUGUAAUGAUUUAUUCCGGCUCAUCAUUGAUCCUUCUGCUUCAAUCUCUUGCAAUAUUUGCCCCCGAUGCGUUCUGGCUCAUCAUUGAUCCUUCUGCUUUGAUCUCUUGCAGUAUUUGCCCCCAAUGCAGGAAUGGAAUGCAACCUUUGCAUUUAAAUGGUCCUUCAGAGCAUUACUUCUUAGUGAUGAUGAAUACUCGAAAGCAAUGCAAGGUAAGCAACCAGGCAAAGGUUCCGGGCAAUCAAUUCCAGAUCAAAAUUUUGAUUUCAGAUUCCGACUAAUUGCCUUCUUUCUCCUUGUCUUGCAGGUAAGAGCAAGGGUAAAAGAAAAGAUAAGGAAAAAGCAUGAUAUAAGAUACUCUUGCUUUCUACCCUGAUGAUAUGAGAUACUUUUGCUUUGGUGUCAUUUGUUUGCAAAGGUAUUCCUGGAGAAGAAGAAAACUGAGUAUUUCGAGAGGUUCUGCUGAGAGUGUACUCUCAAAGGUGAGGAAGAGUUGGGAAUUUUUGCAGGUUUGCUUUGCUAUGGAGGAUGAAGAUCGACAACCAUUGGGUAAUUAAAACAGUAAGAUUCAUGCGUUUUCGACUUUAUCAGAAAUCUUUGACAAAGUUGCCCGUGCUUUCUGCAAAGCUGAGGUUACGUGUGGAAGGUGCUGACAAAUCUUGAAAAGCCGAUCCUUUUGAAAUUAGGAAAACGGUGCCUCUUCGAUCUUUGAACGGUCAUGUUGCCUCUUUUUUUUAUAGAGGCAUUAAUCGUGUUCGAAAACACACUUAGAGAGUUGCCGCAUGUAGGAAUUUCCCUCUUUUUUUUUUUUUUUUUUUGUAUUUCUAAGAAUUCAAUUUACCCAACCUCUUCUUCCUUCAUCAUUUUUUUUUGCAAAAGGCUUUCCCAUCUGAUCGUCGUCUUGAUUUGAAUGUUGGGGAAGAUGUUAAUAUGUCUUUUCCAGACAACAUAUGGCACCCAUCAUUGUUAUCCGCCACCGAUCCUCUUACAGUUGGGGACUCUAUUAUGAAGAAUGACAUAACCGCUAUGGUGGUAGCUAGAAAUCUUCUCACCCCUAAGGACAACAGGAUCUUUUCCAGGUGGUCUAAUGAGCUGGCUGUUCAGGACUCUCUGGCUUUCAGUGUUCAGUAUGCGGGCUCCGUAUCAAAUAUGGGCCAACGCCUUCUUGCUCAAACUCGUCAAGUUGAGUCACUGAAGGCUGAGGUGGCGAGUAUUAAGCAAGAGAUUAGAGGGCUUAAGCAUGAAAACAGAGAGUUGCACAUGCUUGCCAAUAGUUACUCGACGAGCAUGAAGAGAAAGCUUGACCAACUUCAGGAAUCCGAAAGUCAGAUUCAGAGUGACCAUUAUAUGUUUAUGGCUUUACUCCAGAGGCACCUAUUGCCUUCGUCCUCUAGAGUUUUAUCGAGUGUUGAGGCUCCAAACAAUCAACCUUCGACACCUCUUCUUCCUGGAGUUCCGCCGAGUGAUGAGGCGCCACCUGAUCAACCUUUGUGAAGGCUCCUUUCUUUUUUAUUUUUUUUUUUUACUCAUGUAAAAUGUACAUUUAUACAAAUUUUUAGAGAAAUCAAUAAAUGAGUUUCGUUUCAUUCAAUGUAUUUCUUUCUUUUUGUUUAUUUUUAAUUUUUUUUUUACUUUAUUAUAUAUAUAUAUAUUUUUUUUUUUUUGAUUCAUAUGACAACAUUUUUCAAAGCAAUGAUGGCCAUCAUUGCCUUUUUUUUUGUUUUACCCUUUUUUUUUUUUUGAUGUGUGAAUUUGUUUCCUCAUAUUGUGAUAUUGUGAUCAUCUAAUUGUUUUAUUCAAGCAAUGUUGAUUCCAUAAAUUGGCCAUAAACCAAAUAGUACGACCAUAACUUGCUUCUGCCGUGGACGCACUUCUUUGCUCUACUGCUUGCACUGCAUCUUUCUGUUUGUCUCCAUGCUCUUGCUUUCGGUGCUAAGACUCUUUUUUUUUGUUAUCCGUCCAAUUGCACUCAGCAAAUUACAAAACAAUUAAAAUAACUUUUGCUUUCUCAAAAGGGAAGAAAAGGUAUCAUCAUUGCAUUGUAUCUUGUUGUCUGUCUCCAUGCUCUUGCUUUUGGUGCUAAGACUCCACCUUUUUUUUGUUAUCCGUCCAAUUGCACUCAGCAAAUUACAAAACAAUUAAAAUAAUUUUUGCUUUCCCGAAAGGGAAGAAAAGGCAUCAUCAUUGCAUUGCAUCUAUCCGUCCAAUUGCACUUAGCAAAUUACAAAAUAAUUAAAAUAACUUUUGCCUUCCCAAAAGGGAAGAAAAGGCAUCAUCAUUGCAUUGCAUCUGUUCAACAAUGUCGAUCAAGUUUGUUGAAUCCAGUCGUAUAUAAAUAGACCCUCCUGUAAGGCUUUAAAUAGGUAUUUGAUCCCCAUCCAAUUUCCUUUAAGUUGCAGAGUGCUUGGGUUGUGCCACGACUACCACUGAUCACCUAUCGCUGCGAUUUAUUUAUUACACUUGUUGCCACAGGUUCAGGUCUUGCUGUGAAUUUUUUUUUCCUGCUAGGCACCGAAAGGAUGUCAUAUAUAUAAACACACAGACAUGGUUCAUUGUGCUUUUGAUUUUGACUAGCAUGUAUGUGUACACACACACAUGUUGGAAAUGUGCCCUAAAACCAAUCAUAUGAUGAUACUUUACGAACAUUUCACAUGUUAAAUUAAUCUAGUUUAAUGUCAAGGGCGAAGAUUAUUGUUUGAAGCUGUCUCAUAUAAAUGUUAUAUGCUUAAACGAUAAGUCCAAGGAAUAUGUAAUUAGGAGAAUGUAAUUUAAAGAAGUUAGAUUCAUGAGACCAUUCUCUUUCGUAUACAUAUCCUAAACGUUCCUGAUCAUAGGAUUGCCAAUUGGGCAUUGACAGUCCGUUAAGAUCAGUACAUGCUAUGUCUUCUCUUAGGGAGAGUGACUGGUCUCGAGUCAUUGGUGUGAUUGACACCAAGACAAGCAUGUAGGUGCUCAAUAGGGAAUGAGUCCACUGAACACGAUCAACGAGGAGUUCUCAUACUCAUGUCACAUGAGAACUCAUGGUUGGGCUAAUGCAAAGUAGUCCUUUGACCUGAGGCAUCAUAGUUGUCUUUUGGUUAGGUCCUUGAUCUUUGAAUAUGUCAAAGUCACUCCAUCAGAGGGUGUCCACGGCAUAGUUGGGGUUAAGCCACUUAGCCAUGGAGGCAAGUGAAUGCGCAACAAGGGAUCUCUAACCUUCAAACCGUUUGAGGGAGAAUACUCUAUGAUAUGAUUAAGAAUCUCUGGCCAGAGUAUGAAUGAGAUUUAGGAAAUCGUUCCAAAUCACAUUCAAGGUAAUCAUAUAAGUAAGAGAAUCACAUUGGAUAGUAGGCAUGAAUAAACUAUCAAACCAAACAAUGUUGUCAAGAGUAUUGUAUUAGAAAAAGACCGUAUUGCAUUGUAAUCCUAAACUAAAUAGGUUCUCCACCUCUUCUGAUUAGCUUGGGUAACCAUAACAUACUGCUAGGUGUCACUCAUGGUUUGUGGAAGCCCUAAACGUGUAUAAUCACUAAAGGGAGAAUUGAAAGUAAGUUUCAAUUCACAAUCGAUUUGAAAGAGUUCUAAUCGCCCACUGCCUCGCUAAAAGGAACCUAAUGGAUCGUACACCGUGUAAGGUAGAGAUUGAAGAAACAAUAGAGAUGAGUAAGGAUAAUUAAAUGGUUUAAUUAUUUAUGGCUAGGAUUAUUUAAUAUGUUAAUUAAUCAAACGAAUAAGUUCGUUAUAGACCUCGGGUUAGUUUUGGGCCGCAAGGCCCAAUGGGAUUUGAAUGUCAAUCCCAUUAGGUUCCUUUUAGCGAGGCAGUGGGCGAUUAGAACUCUUUCAAAUCGAUUGUGAAUUGAAACUUACUUUCAAUUCUCCCUUUAGUGAUUAUACACGUUUAGGGCUUCCACAAACCAUGAGUGACACCUAGCAGUAUGUCAUGGUUACCCAAGCUAAUCAGAAGAGGUGGAGAACCUAUUCAGUUUAGGAUUACAAUGCAAUACGGUCUUUCUCUAAUACAAUACUUUUGACCACAUUGUUUGGUUUGAUAGUUUAAUCAUGUCUACUAUCCAAUGUGAUUCAUUUACUUAUAUGAUUACCUUGAAUGUGAUUUGGAACGACUUCCUAAAUCUCAUUCAUACUCUGGCCAGAGAUUCUUAAUCAUAUCAUAGAGUAUUCUCCCUCAAACGGUUUAAAGGUUAGAGAUCCCUUGUUGCGCAUUCACUUGCCUACAUGGCUAAGUGACUUAACCCCAACUAUGCCGUGCACACCCUUUGACAUAGUCAACGAUCAAGGACCUAACCACAAGACAACUAUGAUGCCUCAGGUCAAAGGACUACUUUGCAUUAUCCCAACCAUGAGUUCUCAUGUGACAUGAGUAUGAGAACUCCUCGUUGAUCAUGUUCAGUGGACUCAUUCUCUAUUGAGCAUCUACAUGCUUGUAUUGGUGUCAAUCACACCAAUGACUCGAGACCAGUCACUCUCCCUGAGAGAAAACACAGCACGUACUGAUCUUAACGGACUGUCAAUAUCCAAUUGGCAAUCCUAUGAUCAGGAACGUUUAGGAUAUGUAUACGAAAGGGAAUGGUCUCAUGAAUCUAACUUCUUCAAAUUACAUUCUCCUAAUUAUGUAUUCCUUGGACUUAUCAUUUAAGCAUAUAACAUUUAUAUGAGACGGCUUAAAACAAUAAUCUUUGCCCUUGAUAUUAAACUAGAUUAGUUUAACAUGUGAAAUGUCCGUAAAGUAUCAUCAUAUGAUUGGUUUUAGGGCACAUUUCCAACAAUCUUCCACUUGCACUAGAGCCAAUCAACUUGGUCAUCAAUGAUGAUACCUCUUCUGUAGUCAUUUCAAAAAUGGCUGAGUAGUAGGCCUAGGCAAUGGAUAUCUAUAUGUUAUCCAUAGAAACAACCUUGAGAAUAACGACGUCACCAUUAUACAUGAUUCUCAAUCAUGUGGUUCAGUCUCUCAUUUGAGUUCGGAUCUUGAUGAGACCGUGAUUCCCUAGCUUGAGCUAUCGCCCCAUUAGUGUCGUAGUGUCGGUACACUGGAGACACUUUCUGGUUGGAACCGAAUAAAGAGUUCAUAAAUGAACUUUCCCAUCCAAACAACAUUGUUGUAAGCUUCUAUAUGGCAAUAUAUUUUGCAUUCAUAAUGGAACACACUAAAGUCAUUACUUUUAAUGUUUCCAUCCAAAUAUCUCUAUAGUCAUAAUAAAGAGAUAUCUGAUUAUCUCUUCAUUCAUAAUGAAGAAACAUCCAAUAAUGGAUUAGAUUCAUAAUCUAAUACAUUUACGCUUCCAUUACGUUACUCUAAUUCUUCCUCAUUCUUGAGGAAUCCAUCCUUUAUUAUUUCUCAAAUACUUAAGGAUUCACUUGACAAUUGCCAUGGUUCUGAUCCUGGGCUUGCAUUGAUAUAGUCUUGUAUCGAUCUUGGUACAACUCAUAUCAAUGUUUUUCAUACAAUAUGAAAUACAUAAAUCACAUUUUUGCGUAUACAUAAAGGAUUCUAUUUACGCAUUAUUUCUUUGGGAGUCAAAAGGUACGUUCCCUUUGAGAAGAGCUACCUCCUAGUCUCACUAGAGUUGUUCUUCUGAUUGAAGUUUAUCAUCAUAUAAGAAACUUCCUAGCAUCUUUUGUCUAUCAUUAGGGCUUGAUAUAAUCCAAUUAUAUCCUGAAAUAUAUCAUUAUAGAUUUCCAUCCCAUGUUUAUAGACUAUGUCUCCCAUAUACAUUCUAUCGUUAUAGAAUGUUUAAAGUGAUAACUUUAACGAAGAAGUAUUCUUUUCAUUUCCAAAAUUAAUAUAUCAUAUAUGUGUUAAAUUUUAGGAACAUGAUUAACUCCCACUAAUCUUUUGUAAACUUAGUAAACAAAAGAUUCAUUUACAUCUUUAUGAGAAAUCAAACGAUUUGAUCUUUCUCUCAUAAGACGCUUAUAGCUCCCACUAACUUGCCAAGAUCCAUGAUGGAUGGAUCUCUAUAACUUACAUGUCUUGUGAUUCAUAGUUGUAGACAUAUAUUAUCAAGACUAUCUUAAUAAUGGUUUCGGAAACCCAUAUUAUGUCCAAACAUUGAAUCACCAUUUAGUUGUAGCUAGCAAUCUUCGAAUUAAUUGAAACCAAGACUACGUCAAAGAUGGUUUCUUCCAAGUCAACCAUUCUCUUUGAUUGUAGUCACCUUAAGCUAACAAUUAGCUAUGAAGGUUUCAUUACUUAGGGUCAAAUGGUAUUUUACCAUUUUCUUGAGUAUAUGUCCUAUAUACACUCAAUGUAGUCAUAAGGAUCUUCAUUCUUAUUUCUUUCGAAUUAAGAGGUGUAACUCUAUGACAUAGUCAUAAAGUUCAAACCAUUCAACUGAGACAAUUUAUAAAUCCUUCUCGACUACCUUGGAGCUUGUGGUGUAUGAACUAGGUUGCUAUAUUUGUUGAUUAUCAUCUUGUCUCUCAAAGAACCCAUUCUUUGAGUUCUAUCUCUCGUUCAUUUGCGCUUAGGCAAAUCAUAUUGUAGGAUUACAAUGAACUACCCAACAAAACAACAUUUGUUAGUUGGUUUAUAGAAGUGAUACCCAAAGGUUAAUUUAAGGAUAUCCACAAGAUAAUUCUCAAACAAAUAUUGCUUAUUAGCACACAACCCCAAAUCUUAACAUGAUUAAGAUUUGUCUUUCUUUCCAACUACAUCCUAUAGAGUCAUGAAAAUUUUGGAAGAUCUUCUAAUUGACAAUCAUAUUGUCUUAGAAGUAUAUAUCCUAUAUAUAUGGGUAAUUGAAAACAUGCAACGAACUAAAUCUUAUUCGAGUUCGUUCUUCUCUUAAUGGAGAAAUCCAUUAUCUUAU
rnacentral:lncRNA from 1 species